AGACAAACUAACUGAAGCCACAGCCGGAAGCAGGCUGACCACAAGUGCUAAGGUUCUGGUUAGUUCUUUUCUAGGUUCAAAAGAAGAGGCUGUUCUAAGAAAGACUACCGAGUAAUCAAUCACCUCCUCAGAGAAAGUCUGCUCAGGGACCAGCUCUGUGAACACGGCAAGUAACAACAGAGAGAAAACGUGAGGAGAAAAGAGAGACCGGGAUUUUGAAAUCCUGUUUCCUGAAUGCCAUCUCACCAGGCACACGAAAGAAUAAAAUUAAGGAAUCAAGAGCCAAGAAUUUUCUUAUUUUCUUUCAAAAGCUAAAGUCGUCUGGGGCAACUGUUUUCAUCGCUAACCCCCGCUAAUUUCUCCAGCUAUGGUAGUAUUGCUCUCCCUCUGUGGGAUCUAAAACAUGCCCUGUCCUUUUCAGGUUUUAAACCCCAGACCCAGCCGCAAACAGUCUUUUCAUGUCAGAUGAGUUGCUUCGCAACUCUGAGUCACAGGCCUCUUGUCUCUCAGAUGAGGGUUAUGCCACAGGACACAGGUUCCUCACUGGGAAUGGUGUGAGGACUAUAUCCAGGGAUAUUUCACGGCAGGGCCUCUGGAUCAACUGCUUUACAUUGGAGGCUGUUCAUUCUCACUGGUUUAUGCAGUAAGAGCCAUGCCUUGCUGUGUGCCUCAUUCCUUUCUCCAGCUGCAGAGGGUCUUGCUAAAACACAGAUUUCAUCACUCAUCUUCCAACAACCCCUGACCAUCCUCUGGACGAAGUUUAACCUCCUACGCCUGACAUAGAAGAUCCUUCAUGAUCUAGCCCUUUGUUUGUAUCUGUGGCUUCAUUUCUUGCCACUCUCCUUCCUUAUAAUCAUUAUCUCCCCAAACUUGCUGUUUUUUUCUUUUUACCUUUAAAGCCUUUAGAUGUACUAUUCCCUCUCCUUGGAAUAUCAAGAGUCUCCUUUUAUAGUUUGGAUAUCACUUUCUUGAUGAUACGCUUAGCCCAGUAGUAGGCCGGGUGCCUAACUUCUGUAUUCCAUCCUUAUUCCCAGCAUUGGGCAACUCUCUAGCAAUCACCAUUUGGCCUGCCCGCACCCUCCACUACAUUACUGUCUCUUAGAGUACACCACAGUCCCUGGCAAAUGGCGGGCACUCAGUAUAAAUCGGCUGAAUCACAUCAGAUCUUUUCUUCAGGUGUAACCUUCUUUUCCCUUCAUCUCCCUCCUCUUUCUCAGCCUUUCCCCUUUGCUAUAGCCUUACUCCUGAGCAGUAAAUUUAAUCUUCUUCCAACAUCACCUGCAUCAGCUAAGCCUCUGGAGGAGUCCGAUAUUAACAUGGGGCUUACAGUUAGGAGGUCCUACCUUCUCUGGGUGCAGGAGAGGAGCAGUUCUCCCCACUCUCCACCCUACACACAUCGGAGAACAGGAACUCGCUUGCCAAACUCUCGCCGGUUUCUGGGAGAGAGAAGGAAAUUUUAUGAUGAACAAUCUGGCAGCAUAUGGUUAAAAUGUUUGAAGUCCCCAAUUCACGGCUGAUUAAACAAUUCUUUACAUAAAUAACACCCUAGAAUCUUGCAUAUAAAUUCAAAGCAGAAAUGCAAUUUACACUUUCAUUUGGUGAUCUGGAUGGGAAAAAAGCCAAAAAUGUCAAUUCCUGUAGGCUUACUAGAAAUAUCGCACUUAAAUAGCACCUCUCCAACUUUAAAGACAAACAGCUGAAACUCUUAGACAGAUACUACUGAACGUACAGACUCUGGCAAGAUUUAUACCAAGUCUGCACGAGAAGCAUUAGCAGGCAUUAAUAGAAAUCCAAGGUCCAGGCCAGUUUAGUCCACAACUCUAAGAUGGCUGGCAGUAAAUGUCACUUAGUGUCAACUUGGGAGGCUGGAGAUACAUGCCAAGAACACAGCAUUUGGGAGGGAGAGCACAAAGGCUGGCUGGCUCAGUCAGCCACAACGAUUCUAGUCUGUUUCUUAGACUCGGGAUGAAAAACCAGUAGUAUUUCACUAAGUCGGGCCAACUAUUGUAACUGAGAGAAGAGGGCACUUGGGUACCAUUCAAGUAUUAUGGUCAUUUUUUUUCACUCUCAGAAUUGGAAAUCUCUUCUGUUCUUGCUAUGUGUAAAAAUAACAUGAGCUCACUGUAAAACCUGCAUAUAGUAAAAAAGCCCCAGAGAGAGCUACUGCUAGCAGUCUGGAGGUACAGUCAUCCAUGUUUUAAUAUAUGUAUAUGGGCUUUUUAAUUUUUAAGAAAACAUAAGACCAGGCAUAGUGGCCCACACCUGUAAUCCCAGCACUUUGGGAAGCUAAAGCUGGGGGAUCGCCUGAGCCCAGGAGUUCGAGACCAGCCUGGGCAACAUGGCAAGAACCUAUCUCUACAAAAAAUACAAUUAGCCACAUGCAGUGGCAGGCGCCUGCAGUUUCAGCUACUGGGGAGGCUGAGGUGGGAGGAUUGCUUGAGCUCGGGAGGUUGGAGGUUGCAGUGAGGUGAAAUCAUACCACUGCACAUCAGCCUGGGAGACAGAGUGAGAUCCUGUCUCGAAAAAAAAAAAAAAAAAGACAUACAUGUGAUCCUACUAUAGUUAUCCUUCUGCCAUUUCCAACUACAUCUUGUGGGUAUUUUUCCAUGGAGGUUUCUAAAGAUGUACCUAUGUGCAAGGCACCCCACCUCAUGGAUGUACCAUGAUCUGAUGAAACACCCCCGAACAUUUACACUGCUUCCAACUGUACACUGCAGCGAACGUUCUCCCAUAUAUGUCUGUUUCUACGUGCACAGUCGGCAGCCUUUUUUUCUUUAAGUAUUGAUCCUAGAAGUAGAUUUACUCAGUUAAAGGGAUGCAUACUCCAACGCUCUCAAUAUGUAUGGUCACUGCUUUACAAAAAAGUUGCACUAGUUUAAAAGAUGAUGUUAGUGAAUAAAUAAAUGUCAGAUCUGGUCACCCACUCUUAGCAUUUGAUAUGCCACAUUGCCACAUUCAUUGUGAGAAUGAAGACCUGUAUUUGAAAUUCACACUCUGCGUGUUAGGGAGAUACAAUGGGGAGAUAUCUGCAUUACUAAAGUCGUUAUUUUCUUUAGUUCAGUUAUAAUCAGGAAAUAAUCUUUUAGCAUUAAAAAGAUCAGAAGAUCCCAAACCCACCUGGAACAGCUGUUUCAUUGGGCAGCCUAUCUACUUCCAAGAUAAAGUCAUCCUUGAAGAAAAGAUAGCCCACUAUUGAGAACAGGUAAACGAGGAUCAGAGCCAGAACUGCUGUCAGGAUGAUGGACCGUCCAUUGCGAGUGACACUUUUAAUGACAUUAAGCAAAGUCUCUUCUCUGUACACUAAAUCAAAAAGCUUUGAAAACAAACAAAAAGAAUUUUAAGAAGCCUUGAUGUUAGAUGUACAUCACUAUCCCAUAAUGCAAACUUGGUUUAUAGAGAGUUUGCCCUCUUAGACACUCAAAAGCACUACAUAUGAUCUUAACACUGAACAUCUUCCCUGGCUUCACAGUGAAACGGAGAUGGUAAAAAUGAGGAAAAAUAAACACAGAAGAGGAAGCAGGAAACAAUAGCAACUUCAAGUAGUAUCCAGAGCCAUUUAGAGGGACUGGAAAUAGAGAAAAUACAUGCUUGUGCCAAUGAGUUUCAGAGACAAAGGGAGAGGAAAGUGAUGAGGGUCUUGGCAUCCAUUCAUUUAGAAGGUACUGAAUUGAGUUUAUGAAGAGCCAGCCACCCUGGUCCCUGCCCUCCUGCAGCCCAGUGUCUGGUGGGAAGGCAGACGUACUACAAGCCAGCGUCAGUGGCAAGAACUCUGGACUUAGAUGUAAAUUCAAAUCUCAGCUCAGCUACUGUCCACCGUAUGAUCUCGGGCUAGGCACUUUCCUCAUCCCCUCUGAGUCUCCAUUUCCUCAUUUGCAGACUGGAGGAUGUAGAGUUGUUAUGAAGAAUAAGUAAACCACGUACGCACAGUGCUUAGCACACUGGCAUCCAUAUGCUCAGUAAGUACAGUAAAUAGUAAUUAUCAUCAAUUUCCUGAUCAAGAGACUGGGGCAGGGUCACAUAGCUGGUGUAUCGCAGGGACAUUAGUGACGUUAACAUUGCGAGGGUAAGACCCCUGCAGGUCACAGUGCCUUCACAAUCCAGGCUUGCCCUCUGCUAAGGAACCUGCUCUUUGCAAGAAGUUGGCUUCCUGAGGAAUGGAGGAUCCUUGUAGGUACAUAUAGGUAUGGGAGGAUGAUGGCUAGUUUUCCAAGAGCUACAGUCACAGAUACUUGACUGGGAGAAUGGUGGGGAGUGUGGGGAGAGAGCUCUCUGAAGUUACUCUUAGACCUGAGGCUAGUUUUUAGCAUGGCCUCUGGCUGCUGUCUAAUCCUGUACAGAAGGUUUGGUCUCCACUGUGGCUUUGGGGUGUGACUGCACCAUGAAGUGAGUCAGGGGACAGGGUUGAAUCCUGACUGCUUUUAAUUUGUUGCAAGAUGUCGGCCAAGCCAUCUAAGCUCUCUGGAUCUGUUUCCUCAUCUGUAAAAUAAGUGGACUGAGACAGCUGAUCUCUGAGUCCCUUCCAAUUUAGAAUUUUUCAUCUGAGGUCAUUUUCCGGUCGAUUGGCUUUUCUGCCUCCUUGACACCAAUCUGUGUUCUGAGACUAGUUCUGUGAAGGGCAUUGGGUAGAGUAGGAUACUUAAAGGGAAGCAAGGAAGAGGGAUUUUAGUCAAUACAAUAUGACAGAAGGCAAAGUGUUGCUGUUAAUGUUGGUUAAAUGUUUUCCAGCAGCUCAAUAUAAAGUGGCAAGUAAGCGCAACUUCAGACAACAAACAAAUGGCACUUGUUUUCUGUGGUUAAGGACCGCAGAGAUUACACAGGCUCCAAAUCAUAGAAAUGACAAGCGAUUUUUUCCUUUUCACUCAUCUAUAGUUUCUGAUUUUAAAACAAUCAAUAAGUAUUAUUUAUAUAAAAGAAAAGCUUUCUUCUAAUUGGAAAAUUAUACAUGUUCAAUGGAGAAAACUUGGAAAACAAAAAAAAGCACAAAGGAAAAAAAGUCACUAAUAAUUCACCAUCUAGAGACAUUCGCUCAAUAGCUUAAUUCCUUCUGGCCUUAAAAAAUGCAAUUUAUAGAUAUAUAUUGUUUACAAAAAUAUUAGACCAUAAUACUGGCACAUAACCAGCCUUUCACCAAGCCAUCAGGAACAUUUUCCUGUCAAAAAUGAUCACCUGGUAUUUCACUAUAUGGGAAAAACAUGAUUAACAUAACCAAUAUGUUUUUUAAAAACAGUCAAGAUGUUUCCAAUUAUAUGUCAUAACAAAUAAUGCUGUGAGGAACACUUCUAUACAUGCCUCCAUACGUGCUCGUCUAGUUAUUCCUUUUCGGCGAAUUUUUGGAAAUGGAGUAUUUGAGUCAAAUGGUAUAAGAGAAACAUUUUGCCUGCUGCUUUCAGAAAGGCAGGAUCAGUUUACAUUCACCACUAGUAAAGAAUCAUGCCCAUUUUACCCCACUCUCACUAGUACUGGGCACCAUCAGGCUUUUUAACCUUUACUAAUGUCACAGGUAAAACACAGGAUUGCGCUGUUUUAAUUAGCAUGUCUUUGUUUAGCACCAAGGAUGAACAUUUUUCCAUGUUUACUGACCAUCUGGAUUUCUGCUUUUGUUAACUGCCUGCUUAUGAACUUUGCACAUUUUCAUCUCCAGGUGUUAAUAUUUUUCUAAGGACACAGCUUUAAUGCAGGCUCACGACCAGGUCCGGCCAGUCUUUGUGGGGGAGGGGGGGCAGCAGUUUAAUUAGGCCACCAGAUCACCCUCCCUACCUUCCGGCCUGCUGGCAUGGAGGGAGCUCUCCCAACUCUGGAACACAUGGGUGUUCCCUGCUCAGGUCUCUCUCCUUUUACAGGCAGCCCGAUUUCUUUUGGUUGCAGGCUUUCCUUAUUAGUAGAAUAAUUUGAAGUGUCAGUGUUUUCUGGUUCUUACCAGACACAUUGAGUACUGCUUUGAUACCAAAAGGAGCACAUCACUUGAAGACACAAACAAGUCAAGGUCCACACAGCUUAGAAAAUCCCCCCGCAAAGCACAGGAGAGGCAGCCAACCAUAAUCUGGUUUGAUCCUAUUGCGUUUCCUAAAAGUGAACUGAGGUAGCAUGAUCAGAAGCUGAGAGUUACUCUUAUCUUUCUGUGAUAGGUUGGAGACUUGAAAGCACAGAUGCAAACUGGAACGUGAAAUGCCAGUUUCACUGAUGCAAGGACUUUUUCACAUGCUUGAAUAAAAGGCAGUGUCAACUUGGGAAUCAACAGAGUUGUGAGGCUCUCCUGCCUCCACCAGUUACUGACAGUGUGACUCUGAGCAAGUUACCUAACCUCACCAAGCCUCAGUUUCCUCAGGUGUAAUUGGAAGAUACCAUCUACCUCAAAGGUGGUAGUGAGAGUGUGUAGAGAAGAGUGCAGGGUGACCACUCACAAAACGGCUGUCCCUGUAAUGUGCUCCUGACUGUGAGGCCUAUGAGGGUAGGGACUGUGUUCCUCUCACCAUUAUGUGCCCUGCGUCAGGCACUGGCACUGGCCUGCAUUGCAAGUGAUGAAGAGAAGAGGACUCAAAUGAACAGAAAAGAAGCCAAGCCAACUGGAGGCAGAUUGGAGGAAAGGUCGAAGUGUCUACUGGGGCAAGGUGGCGUUGACCAAAGGGGCAUCUCCUGUCUCUUGGGAGAGAGCCCUUGGCAGGGAUGAGAGAGACCACCAACUGAACUCUGCCGCCCUCCCAAGGGAGGACAGGAAUUUGUUGUCCAGGGACAUGAUGGCAUGAGACAAAAAGUUCCAGAAACAGACGUAAGUCUCUAAAGGUUUCUGAUACAAAGUGACCAAAAUAGGCGACAUAAUGGGAAUCACAAGGAUAUCCUGAGACCUCUUUGCCUAAAACCUCAAAAUAUAGCCAGACCUAUUUUAAGAUGAGGGAAAAGAAUCCAUUCCCUUUAGCCUGCCAAAAUCCACCCCUAAUGGUAUGAGCUAAUCCUAGUGAUCUGAACGGUGAAUUCCUUAUGGUGUUUUGGACGGGGGAAGGAAUAUAGAAUGACAAAGACAAUAAAAUAGCUGGCAAUCAUUCGGCAGUGCUAUUCUAAGACCCUGACCUGAACAGCUGCAUGUAAUCCCUGUGACGGCCCUGUGAGGGAGAUACACUGUUCUCAUUUUGUAGAUGAGGAAACUGUGGCACAAGGCAGUCAAGUACGUUAAGCGAAGGGAGCAUCUCACACAGUUGCAUUUUGUACUUUCAAAUCUCUAACCUAUUGCAGAAAGAUAAGAGUAACUCCCAGCUUCUGAUGCUGAACUGCUCCUCAGUUCACUUUAAGAAAACGCAAUAGGAUCAAACUAGAUCGUGGCUGGAUGCCUCUCAUACGCGCUUCGGGGGGGUUUUCUAAGCAUCUCCCUGAAGAGCUUCCCUUGCUCUGCCUUUUGUAAGCCCCCCUCUCUUUGUAAGCCCCCCUCUCUUUGUAAGUCCCCCCUCUCUUUGUAAGCCCCCCUCUCUUUGUAAGCCCCCCUCUCUUUGUAAGCCCCCCUCUCUUUGUAAGUCCCCCUCUUUGUAAGCCAACCCUUAGGCCUUGAUCAUUUUUGUCCUCACAAAUAUUUUAAUAUUCCUAGGCUGUUUAUGGUGUUGCUUGCAGAUAGGUCAGUUUUAUGCUUCCUGUCAUUUUAUGUAGGCACAAGAAAAUGGUUUCUUAUCUACAACGCCACAGGUCUAGAUUCCCUCCAACUACAGGAAAGUAAGUAGUUCCUUGAUUUGUCAUUUAAAAACCUGCUCAGGAGGAAGGUGAUGGAACCAGCUUGUCUUACAGACUGUCAAGACAUUAAGCACUUGGCUCAUAUCGGAGGAAAAUGAGCUACUGAAAGGGUCUCCUAGACCAAUAAAUCUACUGAGCUCAUGAUCAUGAAUCCCGGGGCUUCAAAACUAGCUCCUACUCUUAUGGUCGCUACACGUGUUCACAAGAAAUGGACUCCCUGAGAGCUGUUGGAUGACAGCCUCAAAAACACUCCUCUUGGUGUAAGUGCGGCUGAGUCUAAGAAGUAAAGAAAAACAAAGGUGCAUGGAAAGGAAACAUCUCCUGAACCUACUACAGGCAUGUUCCAUUACUGAGAAGUAACAGAUCGGGAGUGCCCAGUACACAGUGCGGUUGUGUGACUCUUGAAUUCCUGGGCUGACCCAAUUCCUGUGGAGCUUUCCUCUCAGAUCCCCCAAAGGCUGCCAACUGUGGAGCUUCAAUCUUGGUGGACCAGGCACACCAAUCACCAUUAAAAGGAAGGGUCUGUGAUGAGAGAGAGGACAUAGGACACUCUCCUAGUUUCCCCACACAUAAAAUAUUUCCACACCAGGUACUCACCAGCAGACUGUAGAAGAAUUCAUGGACAAAGAGCCCCAUGGCACAGAUCACCAGAUACAACAAAUGAUAGAGGAACUCAACAUCCAGAACCAUGGCUCGGUAGCCUCUUGUGAAUGUCCCACAGUUGCCCACAAAGCUCAUUAGAAAGAUGAUUUUAUUGCAUACCUGAGAACAAUGACAGGAACAGUCAGAUGGCACGGACUGUGCCAAACUCUUCAUGAGAGCAACGAGAGCAUCUCACACAAAUGUAUUUCAGUCACCGUGCCCAAACAAACGCUUCCUUUUCCACCCGGUGCCCACCAAACCCGCCAAGACCCAUUUGCAGAUCUAAGUCAUUUCAUUACUUUGCUUUUCAGGCAUAUUACAAAUUACAUGGUAGUCAAAUAACUUCAUGCGCAACAGUAAUCAAGUAGCAUUUCUCUAUGGCAAAAACAAAAUUAACACAUACUGAGAUUAUGAUUUUCAAAAUGAGAUAUGAAUCAUUUCUAACAUUCUUGUAUGAGUUAGUCAAACACAGAAGUCACCUCAAUCCACGAACCCUGUGAUCAGCAUGAUCAAAAGCAUUUUCUGAAUUUGUUACAUUCUAGGCACUGUAAGGUGGCAAUUUAAUGAGCAGUGAUCAGUUCUUGCCUUUCAAUGCUCCUAAGUUCACAGGGAAAACAACAAUUUUCUUGGGGGAAAAAAAAUAUAAGGGACUUCAGGAUGAGUUCUAUUCCCCUGCCCUCUCUUCUGGGAAUAACUUCUAAUUUUCCUUUGGGGACCAUUCCUCUCUGAGUAGCAGUCUUUGAGGUCUGGGUGGGGCUCCAACCUGGCCAUCACAAUAUUGUAUUCCCCUGGGUACAAUGACUGGUUUAGAGAUAGACACAGGACCAAAUGGAGCCAAUGAUGUCCACUGAGCUCUUUCUUGGGAUUGCAGCCAAAGAUAAUUUUGUUCUUUCCCACUGACCUUGAACCUGAGCAGCUGUGAACUCUGGAGCUGCCACAUUACCAACACUGAAGGCACCACCAGCACUGGGGACACAGAGCCAAAAGAUGGCAAGGAGGAACUGGGCCCUGAGGACACUGUGUGAGCCCCUGUAUCAGCUGUGCCUGAAGCGAGGCUGUUGGUUUCUUGGUCAAAAUGAACCAAUACAUAUUCUCCUUUGCUGAGGCUAGCAUGGAUUAGGUUUUCUGACAUCUGCAACUGAAGGAGUCCUAACUGAACUACUGUGCAAUAUAGUCUCACCUUUGAUAGAAACCCCAAUGCCUGGAAGUCCAUCUCUAGCAAUAUGUUGACAGAAAAACUUGGCUCAGGAGGAGGCCAGAGAGGGACCUCUCUGGAUGCACUUGGUAAAACCAUCUUCUGCUACUCUAGCUCCCUUGGCCACAGGUGCGGGGGAAAUACUGCCAGUUAAUCUGGUAGGUCGGUGUAAGUGAGCUUCUCGGCAAUCAGAUAAGCGAGGAAGCCGACACCCACAGAUCGCUGCUGGCUUUCUCAGACAGGCUAAGCAUUCAAUCUGCCAAUUUUUUCCAAAAUUCUCACCUUUGCUAGUGGAGGGGAUUUCAGAGGGUGGGAAAGUAUCACUGAUUCUGGAUGAUCCAUGAUGAUGUGGUUUCAGGGAGAGGCAGAUGGUGCCCUGGGUGACAUCACACAUUACAGCACCUCAAACACACCCCAGAUCCUGCCAACUUAACAACAGGGUGAUCCACUUCACCUGAGUCCAUUCUCCCCUCUAACUUCUGCCCUAGUUUUCUCCAUUGCUUCCCCAGGAAAUAGCUGCUAUUUGUGGUCUCAGCCUGCGGCUGGACUCUGCUUGUUAGUCUUAGAUCUGGCUUCCAUCCCCACCUCUCAACAGAGACAGCUCAUGUGAAGUCUCCAAGGAUUCUGCGCACCCAGCAGUCUUCCCGUCUGCUCUUAGCAUCUUUCCCAGCUCCCUGCGGCGUGACAAGUCUCCCAGCGCACCCUGCUCACCACUCUCCCAGCUGGGCUUUAGGACCCCACCUUCUCCUCCUCCAGCUCUCAGAACUCCAAUAUUCUCUCUCUGUCUCCGUCCACAGGUACUUUCCCUCUCCCAUACAUUCCAUGUGGGUGUUUCUCUCUUUUAAAAUUCACUCUAGGCGGGGCAUGGUGGCUCACGCCUAUAAUCCCAGCACUUUGGGAGGCCGAGGCGGGUGGAUUGCCUGAGCUCAGGAGUUCGCGACCAGCCUGGGCAACACGGUGAAACCUCGUCUCUACUAAAAUACAAAAAAUUAGCCAGGCAUGGCGGCACACACCUGUAGUCCCAGCUACCUGGGAGGCUGAGGGAGGAGAAUUGCUUGAACCCAGGAGGCGGAGGUUGCAGUGAGCCGAGAUUGUACCACUGUACUCCAGCCUGGGUGACAGAUCGAGACUCUGUCUCAAAAAAAAUGUAAAAUAAAAUUUACUCUAAAUAAUUAUUUAUUAUAGCUGUUUGCCCCCUACCAGCUUAUGUUGUUGUAAAUGGUAAUUAAUUAUCUCAGUUGAGUCUUUCCCCCAACUGAUUUGUGUUAAAGAAGUGAUAACUGUGGAAUGAUUAUCAGAGAAGGCCAGAGAAGAAAAGAACUAGACAGCCCAUAGAAGACAGCCUCUGAAAUACUGAACAUUUUUUCUACCUAGUUGUUUAUGUAAUUCUUUUGUAUUUCUUUCUUAAAUGGUUUCCUCUCACUGCAGGCAAUCCCUACAUUCCCCUCCCCACACUGAUCUCUCUCUGUAGUUCUGGUCAUGUAUUUCCAAAUGCCGCAGCUCACGUUAACAGCGUGUCUUUCCACCUGAAGCCCAGUAGGUCAACGAUGUAAAUGCAUUUUCACCCUGAAAAACUAAAUCUUUGCAUGACUUCAUUUUAGAUGGCCACAUUAUUCUUCUCCCAAUCAUUUGUGACUGAAAAUUUGGAGUCAUAUUUGCCUCCUUCAUUACCCAAUCAAGACAGUGAUACCCUCUUUGUCUGAAAAAGGGACCCAGAGUGGCAGUAUGGUUUGGUUCUGUGUCCCCCCCAAAUCUGUUAACUUGUAAUCUCCAGUGUCAGAGGUGGGGCCUGGGGGGAGGUGACUGGAUCAUAAAUAGUUUAGCGCCACCUGUCCCGGAUACAGUAUAGUGAUAGAGAGCUGGUUGUUUAAAAGCGUGUAGCGCCUCCCCAUCCGCUUCCUCCUGUUCCAGCUCCAACUUUGCUGCUUUUACUCCGCCAUGAGUGAAAGCUCCCUGAGGCCUCCCCAGAAGCAGAUGCUGCCAUGCUUCCUGUACAGCUGCAAAACCUCAAGCCAAUUAAACCUCUUUUCUUAUAAAUUACCGAGUCUCAGGCAUUUUAUAGCAAUGUGAGAACGAACUAAUAGAAGCACAUUGCUUUCUGGGUGGGGUAAGGCUCUGACUCUGUGCCCACCAUGUGUUACUAUUUCCUCAUCUCUCUUUCUCUCUUUCUUUCUUUCUCUUUCUUUCUUUCUUUUUUUUUUUAAUCAGUCUCAUUCUGUCACCCAGGCUGGAGUGAAGUGGCACCAUCUCAGCCCACUGCAACCUCUGCCUCCCAGGUUCAAGAGAUUCUCGUGCCUCAGCCUCCCAAGUAGCUGGGAUUACAAGCAUGCAUUACUAUGCCAGGCUAAUUUUUGUAUUUUUUUUUAGUAGAGAGGGGUUUCACAUGCAUACUGGCCAGGCUGGUCUUGAACUCCUGGCCUCAAGCAAUUUUCCCGCCUUGGCCUCCCAAAGUGCUGGGAUUACAGGCUUGAGCCACGGUGCCCAGCCUGUUUCCUUCCCAUUUCUGACGUCCAUACCUUCCUUCUUUCUUCUACACUAUGUCCAAGACUCAGGCUUCUCAAACCUAAUCAAAGCGUCGCUACAGCCCCUAAAAAGCCUCCUUGCCUCUAGUCCCUCCUGAUGAAUCCACAUAACAAGCCAUACUGAAUGCAUUUUCUCAAGAAUACUUCUUUGUAUGGACCAUUUCUUGGCUCAAAAACACCACAGGCACUUUCCACUACUGGGAACAGAGUUUCCAACAUACAUUCUAUACAACACUAAUCUCAAGUGAUACUUACAAAAAACUGCAGGAAAAUAAGUUUGGGAAACAGAAAGACACUGUUUUCCUUGGAGGUUCCUAAUCCAUAUUAGUACAUUAAAGUCUGUGAGGAAGCCUGCAGUAAUGAAACCUUUCAUUGUGUUUACCUCAGCAUUUUUCAUGCGGAUUCAAUCACGGAACCCUUUUUUCACCUCAUAUUUAUCAACGUGGAAUAUGCUCUGGGAAUGCUGACCUGGGGGAUGAAGUCCAGUUGCUUUAUCCUAAAAUUCAGUGCUGCAAGUGACUUACACAGGAUCAGUUCCUACUGAUCACUACUGAACCACGAAUGAGGUGAAACUCUUUAUUUAUUGUCUGUUGAUAACAUCCCGAGCUUUCCCACUGUUCUGCUCUGGCCUAUGGGGCCCACGAAACCAAAGAACUCUUCUCAAUCCCCGCUUCAUGGCCAGAUCCUCUCCAUUCCCUUUUUUUUAAAAAUUAUUUAUUUAUUUGUUCAUUUAUUUAUUUUUGAGAUGGAGUCUCCCUUUGUCACCCAGGCUGGAGUGCAGUGGUGCCAUCUUAGCUCACUACAACCUCCACCUCUCAGGUUCAAGUGAUUCUCCUGCCUCAGUCUCCCGAGUAGCUAGGAUUAUAGGCGCAUGCUACCAAACCCAGCUAAUUUUUGUAUUUUUAGUAGAGAUAGGGUUCUGCCAUGUUAGCCAGGCUGGUCUCAAAUUCCUGAUCUCAAGUGAUCUGCUCACCCUGGCCUCCCAAAGUGCUGGGAUUAUAGAUGUGAGCCACCGAGCCUGGCCCUCCAUUCCUUAAGCCCUAACUUCCAUCCUGCCUCCUCCCCGCUGUAAGCUUUUCAGCUUGACAUGACCUGUUCUCUAAAGUCCUUGCUGCCUGUGCCAUUUGAAUACUCCCUUUGGGGCUUUUGCUGUUGCACUGAAUUACUAUAUUAUUUUGCGAUAUCACUUCCAGUUUUGCAUGGGACCUCAGCUUCCUUAUAUACUCAGGGCAGAAACCCCUGGAAGGCAUUUUUAGAUCCUCCAGUGCCUCACAUGUCCAAAUUUUCUCCUUCCCUUCACAAGGAAACCUCUCCAAUGUAUGGUUUUAUAUCAGUUUGUCCUAAGAAUUCUCCCAGAGAUGAAAUUGGCUUCUAUCUUUCAAUGGUAGUGAAACAGCAUUUCUAAAUGUCACCACUGACUUUUAAAGAAUUGUCUCUGCUUCUCCUCUUCCCUCUCCACCUGCCCUGUCUCUGUAUUUGGCCAGGCCCUCUUACCUAUCCCCUCUUUUCUAUGUGGCCCUUUCCAGAAGUGGGUACGGUGUUAAUAUUUGAUCAUUUCACUUAUUGUCUAAAAUCUUCUGUCCCAACAAACCUUUGACCAGAUUGGCAAAACUAACUUAAAUCUCAAAGCACUACCACUUUUUCUGCCUAUCUCCUGACAGGGAUAGUCCCUAAAAGUGAAAGUGCUGAUGCCCAAGGGAUCCAUUACAAGGCUCACUGCACCACGCGGAGGUCAAGAGGGAGACGUCCACCUGCAGCCAUCCCCUGCUUCUGGCUAUUUAAACAGUUGCCCCAAACAAUAAUUUUCUGGACUGAAAGCACAGGCCAGGAUUCUAGAAACCAGAGUGCAAGGCAUUCCUAUUAAUCUGCAAACAAAACAGUGGCAAGGAAGGUAUUCACACUUACAUUGAAAGCGCCCAGAAGAAACAACGUGGGUUGUAACCCGACUGAAAAUAUCAGUCGUAGAAUUGUGGAGGCAAUUAAGGCCCGGAUGCCAUGGGGCUUGGGGAGGGCAAUGACGAUGGCCAGAGAGAUGAGCAUGGCUGUCCACAGGAGUCCCGACCAGUGGGGCUCCAGGGUUCCUGCAAGGACAAAACAGGGUUCUCUCACAAAUCUGUGCCUUCACUGAGUACAGGGGACAGACCUAAAACAUGCACUGUUACAGAUUCCUCAAUAACUUUUUUGGCUUACCAGUCCCAACUCUCACCUCAAAUUCUCUGCCCCAUCCAUAACCAGUCCCAUCAGCAUUUUUUGACCUCCAAGCCUCCACACAUGCUCCUUCUGCUGGGAAGUUCUUCCCUUCUCAUUCAUCUCAGGUCUUAGCUUUGACAUUACUUCUUCCAGGAAGCCUCCCCCAAUCCCCUUCCUCCCCACAAAAACAUGUCAGGAGUUCCCUCCUCCUCCGUACUCCCUGCUUCCAGUCAUCCCUACAGGACACUAUUUCCUAAUGGUCAGUUUACUUGUCUCUCUCUCACCAGAUUGCACAUUCCCCAGGGGAAGUACCUGGUGCCUGGCAGGUACUCACGAAAAGCUCGUUCGAGAAAUAAAACUCAUGCAUGUGUCACACUUCACUCAAAGAAGGCGACGUGGAAGCCUAAACUUAAUUUCUAUUAAAAGUAUGCAAAGGAAAACUGCAGGUCCCCUGCCUGAAUCAGAUUUCUCCAAGGGAAGGAGAAAGGCAACUUCCGUGUCAUGAGCAUCAUGCUACAAUUAGAUUAUCCCUGCAGUCAAAGAGCUUAUACCAAUUUUUGUCAUCUCUUGCUACUGCAAGUUCUAUUUAGAGUGUCCCACGAGACGGCUUGGUUAUAUAACAUGAGCCAACACGGCUAAAAAUAUAGUUCUGUAAAACACUCAUUAAAAAAAAAACACCCCUAUUUCAAAUGCUGUCACAUUUUGAGUCUCCUUCAGAUGUAAACAAGCAGCACUACAUGAUUAAGGCCACUUAUAUAAAGGAGCUUCACUUCUUCAGAGAUGCUUGGAUUGUGGCACCACUGGGGAGGAGACACCUUUGCAGGGCACAGCUCUUCCACCAGCUGCUGGCUGCCCUAGUUCAUUGAGUCCACGCCUGCGGAGAUUCAGCCUCACUUUAACAACUGUUCCCCCCAGCCCAGCCACUUACCUCUUCCCUUUUGAAAUCCUUCAAAAGGCAAAGCUGAUUGGGAAUGGGGACAAAGAGGCAGAGGUUUCUCAGAAAUUCAAGAAGUGCACAUUGAGGCACAUGUGCCGCUUUCUACGCAUUUAACAAUUGUUAGACAUCGUGUCAAGCCCUUGAUGUUGAUGAUCAUUUAUUCAUCCUACUGUCCCCGGUCUACUCUAAAGGAAACUGAGUCUCAGGUUACAUUUCUUGCCCAAAGUGAUGCAGCAAAUGGCUGCAGACCAUUUGCCUCUGAAGUCGAUGGUCCUUAAUCAAUAUUUUAAAAAAUCCAUGCAUUUUAAGUGUAAAAUUUGGUGAAUCUUGGCAGUUUAUAUAGUCAUGUGACCACCGCAUGUAAUUGUCACCACAGUCAAGAUACAGAACAUUUUUAUCACUCUAAAAGUCUCCUUGUGCCUCUUUGCAGGUGAUGCCUUGCCCCAUCCCUACCCCCAGCUACCACUGAUCUAAUAGUGUCAGUCCCUAUAGCUUUGCACUUUCUAGAAUUUCAUAAAAAUGGGAAAAUAAUCCUAUCAGGUAGUCCUUUGUGCUUGACUUCUUUCACUGAGCAAGUUUUUAAGAUGCAUCCAGGUUACCAUGUAUGUAUUGAUACUUUGUACUUUUUAUUGCUGACUAUAUUAUAGUAUGGAUAUAUUACAAUUUAUUUGUCCAGUUAACAAUCAAUGAGUUUCCAGUUUGGAGUGAUUACAAAUAAUGCUACUAGAAACAUUCAUGUUCAAUUCUUGGAGUGGACAUAUUUUCAUUUCACUUGGACAAACAUAGAGAAGUAGAAUGUUGGAUCCUACAGAUAUGUUUAACUUUAAAAGACAAUACCAAACUGUUUUCCAAGGUGAAUGUAUCACACUGCCUUCCCACCAGCCGUGUAUGACAGUUCCAUCUGAUCCACAGCAUCACCAAUACUUGGCAGUGCCCAUCUUUUUCAUUUAGUCAUUCUAGUAGGUUUGCAGUGGUAUGGUGUGGUGAUUUUAAUUUACAUUUCCCUGAUAACUAGUGAUGCUCAACAUCGUUUCAUGUGCUUACUGGCCAUUCAUACAUCUUCUUCUGUGAAGUGUCUGAUCAAAUGCUUUGCCCACUGUUUUAAUUGAAUAGUUUUUUUAUUGUUGAGUUGUAAGAGUUCUUUACAUAUUCUGGACAUAAGCUUUUUAUCAGAUAUAUAUUUUGCAACUAUUUUCUCCCAGUCUGUGGCUUAUCAUUUUCUGAAAUGCUUAAUGCCAUUUUAAAUGGACUCUUAAGAUGAUCUCAGUAUCAUCAAUGUGACCAGUACAAUGUAUGUCCCAAAUCCUGAAGAGGCCAAUGUAAAAAUGCUGUCUCCUCACUAUAACGGCAGUGUUAAAAAACAUAGUGCUAGAUUCCAAAAAAUCAACUCUAGAAAGACAUCUUUGAGACAGUUGGAGAAAUCUGAAUUUGGGCAGGCUAUUACAGGAUUUGCUGUUAGUUUUGUUAGAUAUGAUAAUGGCAUGGUGAUUAUACAUAUUUUAAAAUGUCCUCAUAAGUUAUACACUGAAAUAUUUAUGGACAAAAAAUCCAAGAUGUCUAGACUUCUUUAAAAUGUUUCAGAAAAUAUAGUAUGGGGAUAGAUGAAACAAGAUAGGCAAAAUUGUUAAAGCUGGCUGAUAGAUAUAUGGUAGCUCAUUAUACUGUUCUUUCUACUUGUGUGUAUAUUUGACAAUUUCAAUAAUAAAAACAUUUAAAAAGUAGUACUACAUUUGCUUUAGCCAUCACGGCAUGCUCACAAAUUCAGUAAGCAAUCUGAAGCUGCCUGAGUUGCACGCUUUUGAAAGACUGUAACUUGUCAGUUCUAAAACAAAGGUGGAGGGGCGGUGAUACUUUUGAAAAGGAGCUUUUAAGGCCACUGGUUCUUGGCAGUUGCAAACCUUGUAAGCCACAGAACCACACAAAAUCAGCACACAUAAUACGGCCAUUAUACACAUUCAAGAGGGACAUUAUGAAAUCUUGCCUUUAGGAUGCAACAAAUCCUAACACAUAUUAGCUCAAAGAAAUACUUUCAGGUCAACAAACCAGAUCUUGUUUCUAGGCAGGGUUAAUACAACUCUUCUACUGAGGAUGGUUAGCAGUGAGUAUAGGAAAUGCCCUCAAUGCAUCUUACAAAAGGAAAAAAGAAUCCCUCUGAGAGUGAACUGAUGCACUUAAGGCAGUAUCAGCUACUAGAUAAUGGAAAAGGCUUCCUUGGGUCAUAUCAGCCUCAGGUCAAAUCUCCUCGGAGCUCUGAAUUAUGCUCUCAGUUUAGUCCCUCAGCAUGAAGUUCUAAAGCCCAUGAUUCCAAACCAUGCAUCCUUGCCUCCUGCAGACCAGCCUGAGUUGGUGGCUCAUUCAGAAUGCACCAUUUUAGAGUUGGAAGGACCCUCGAUAGUCAUACCAUCCAGGGGAUCUCAAGCUUGGAUGGGCAAGAAACACAUGCUCUGGAGAUCUUGACUAGUUUGCCAACUGUUCUUCCCCGGGUUCUACAGGAUUUUCUGAAGCCAUAUCAAAGUUUUCUAACCAUGGGCUUAAUGUAAACAUCUCUUCACAUAAAGGAUGACAAGGACUUGCUGAAGUGGCUUGCCCAGAGUGGCUUGGCAAAUGGGCGGCAGGAGCCAGGCAGAGACCUUAAGUCUCUGGACUUCCUAAGUCUAAGAAAGGCACUGCAGGAGGCUUGUCAAUGAAGGGUGGGGGGCUGUUAACUCCCUGUCCCCAGAACUGGCCUGAAUGCUGCCACAAAUGACCGGUGAAGAAAACAGACGUGGCGAAUAAUAAAAUCUGUUUGAAAUAUUUUUAAGGCAAUGGAGAGUAAAUGAAAACACAGACAAGGUAAGGGUUGAAUAAUCUGCCGUGAGGAACAUGACAACUUCCCUGAGGCGAAAGGAGACCUGGGCCUCCUCCGCCGCCGCCAGCUGAGCUCCUCACUAGCCCUCUGCCACGCACUCCUCUGCUGUCUGGCAGCAGGGUUAAGGUGGACAUCCCCAAAGAGAAAACCUUGCAGCUCUGGGUUCUAGUCAAAUCUUUUUAGACAUAGACACGGGCAUUCAUGUUUCCUGACAUGACAUUAAAAAAAAAAUCCCCCCUGGACUUGUGUUUAGAUUGUACUUUUCGGAGCGGGGGCAUUCAGAUGGUGCCUUCCACGUAACUUAAGGUCAAACAGAAAAGCUAACUCCUCAAAAGGGUAACUUAGGCAUAUAAGCAUUACAUAACAUCGCUUUCAAGUUGGUCCUUAAACUGACUCAUUACCCAUACAUGUCUGCUUCCGUUGAUGUCUGCAUGAUUAAGCUAAAGAGUGGAGCCUGAAACUUACUCCUGUGUGGUUUUUGGGCUCUUUAUCCCAUUCUCUGUCACAUAAGGUGGUUCCUGGCAGGUUGUUCUAUGCGUAUGUGAGGUGAUCUGCCAAAAAGCUCUGAUGAAAAAUUUAGCCGGGAGGUGGACCUCCCAGGUGGCUGCUGUGGAUGUCAGAAAAGGGGCCAUGAAUGUAUCACAGAAGAGGAGCUUUGAAUGCUUGUCGAGGGGCCCCAAAUAGCAAAAUGCCCACCUCCAAAUUGUCUGCCUUUUCUCAGCAAAAUGUGUAGCCUGGAAGGAGGUAGGCUGGGGGGAACCCAGAAAGACCAUAAUCAUCAUGUUUUGUUAUGUGAAUAAUGGCAGGUACCUCUUAAUAGACUAAACAUUGUACAGUCUGCAGUCAUUCAAGUCCUGCCUCCCCUCUGACCCCUGGCAAAAAAAAUAUUCCAGAGAUUUCUUACAAAUUCUUUAGUCUGAAAUCAAUUCCAGAAGUGCGGUGUGGAAACACAUAUACUGGACUGAGCAUCAAGACGUCUACGUUUUAGGGUUAGCUCUGCCAUUAGUUAGCUAUGUGACUUUGGCCUGAUUUCUUAACUGCUCUGAGACAUAGUUUCCUCAUAUAUAAAAGAAGGGGCUGAUUAAGAGACUUUCUCACAGGUUUAAUAGUAUCUAGCUGCUUCUCUUUCUUUCCUGGUUAAAAAAAAUGGAUAAAAAAGUUAAAUUAUUUUAAGUUAGAUUUAAAACUAAAUCUAUGGUAACAGCUACAAUCUCCUCUUGUCUGAAUGUGGAUAACUGGGAUCCCCAGUACUGCACCAAUACAUCCAGGAACCACAACUGAGAUGCAAGUCCUAGCCUUCCUGCUGCUUCUAAUAGGAUUUUUGAAGUUAAAGAUAUGGGUACCUCCUCGGACUCCCUUAAACGGGUAGAAAAACGCCACCAGCAGGUUCAUCAGGACGGCCAGGUUAAACGAAAUGCUGCUCCAGAAAGACAUGUUGCGGGCACACCAGUACAACACGGGCUGGGCUGCAGAGACAAAGGCAAAGCCGCGUGAGGCUGGAGACCCCAAGCCGGAACGCCAGGAAUGCAAUGUGGCCCUUCCGCCAGCUCUGCCCCACAAGUCCACUUUUGUUCCCGGUUUUUACCACAAGAGUAAAAAUGAUCAUUUGUUUGGAACUUGGUACAUAAUGACAUCAGAUUGGUUUAUUUCUGUGUGGAGUACUUACUGGAACAGAAGAUGUAUUGGGGGUGGAGUAAGGAGAGAGCAAAAAGAGAAAAGUUGGAGCAUCUAUAAACCCUGCAUACCCCAGCCGCAGCCAUCAGUUGCGGAAUCUGGGGGUUAUCCAGAGUUCACACAUUGAGUCCUCGGUUCCCCCUAGGGCUCUGGGACCAGAUGAGAUGCCCGGAGAGACCCAAAAAUUCAAUUAGCUUUUUAGAAGUGUGGGGCACUGGGGAGGGGUGGGGGAGAUACAGCAUUCAGAGUCAGCCCCGCUGGGCCCCAGACUAGGGCUGGUAUCAUUUCCACAUUCCUCUCUGGCUCAACAUGCUCCACUAACACGCCAGUGCCUAAAAGCAAGACAAUGAUUCCUUUCCCGGCAUUGAGUCAUCUGCCAUUUCCCUGAAGUUGGAUGAUCAUUCUUGAGGACAGGGAAGCGAGGGGUACAAGUUGCUGACCUCGUGGUCAGCAGCAGAGUUCCCAUCUCCAGGGCUGUGGCAGAGAGAGGAUGUGGCAGCAAAGCCAUCACAAAGGGGCAAGAGACAGAGACGCUUUGGACAUUGCUGCCACCUUAAUCCACCGCUGCCCACAGGUUAUCCCACGCUGGCCGGGCAUUCUCAGUCUUAGAACAACAAACACUUGGUUACAGGGGUGCCUUUUUCCCUGAACUCUUUUUCAGUGGUGCUUUACACUUAGGGUGAUGCUCCAAAAUAGACAUGGUAGGCAUAAUUUCAGUGUCCAUGUCACAGGCAAAGUUUCCAAAAGACAGUCUCAUUCCACAUCAUCCCCCUCCAGAGAAAAGCAUGGAGUACGUGAGAAUGGAUCUCGAUCGUAUAUUUCUUUUUCCCAAUGAAGUCAUCAUGUAACUUUGCGACAGCAGCCAAUGACAAAUCCAACGGCCUUAUAAUAAUGCUUGUAGCAGCAGCCAAGCCUUUGGGAGCUUCCAACCAAAAUAAAAUUAUGGUACAAUUAAAUAGAGCCCUGGGUAAUUUAUUAAUCGCCCAUAUCAUGUUUGCACUUGGUAACAGGCAAUGUUUCCAAACUGUAGAGUUUUAGAGCCAUGAGCAAUCAUCUAGUUUAAAAUCCCUCAUUGUAUAAAUGAGGGAAACUGAGGCCCAGCACAGGGCAGAAGCAGUGGAGAUCUUGUUAUCCAGGUUAGUGAUCCUCUGGGGUCAGCGGCAGGGAUAAAAAUAAAUGACCCAUGUGACAAUUGAAUGGGGGGCCAGCCAGGACCCAGUCAACCACUACGUAGCAAUGUACUUUCUUUGGUAAGUUGAUUGCUGAAGCAAAUUUAAGCUGAGACAUUUAUCUGCUCUAGAAACAACAGCUAUUGUGUUUCUUCUGGGACUGAAGCCCAUUUCCGAUCUGGAUAUGUAAACUCCAGAAGAGGACAGAAGAGAUGAAUGGCAAAGAGUUGAUAACCGCUGAAGCUGAGUGAUGGAUAUGUGGGAAUCUGAAAUAUCCUCUCCACACUAGUGUGUGUAUAAAAAGCUCAUAAAACAAAGUUGGGGGGAAGAAAAGGAUCUGGCAAAGCUCAGUGAUGGUCUGUGUAAGCCAGCAUUCGUUUCAGAGGGAGUGCUCCGUAUCAAAUGUGAGUGCGUGUACUGCAGGAUACGCUAAUAUGAUUGUAAUAAAUGGUCUUCAACUAUGGCAUAUAGUUCAUGAAAUGAAUCUUAUUUUUAUAAGGCUAACAUUCUACUUAAGUUGUAAUGUUGUUUUCAAUCUGGACAAACAUUCAGUCCUUCAAAUCAACUAGGUAUUUAUCCAGGUGCAAGAAGAUACUUAGAGACCAAUCUUGACAUGCAAUGUCUUUUAUUUCCUGUGGCACAUGGAACUAUGUCCCUAUCUACCUUUCCAGACACUUCUCCCACUCCCCUUCCCCAUAUACUCUGCCUUUGUAUCCCAAUCUAGUGGUGGUUCCCGAACACACCCCGCACUCUCCAGCCUCUGCACACUCGCUUUGUGUCAAUUUAAAAAUAUGUUCAUGAAUUAUUUGAUCCUCCUCCCUUCAAGUGGUACAUCUUAAUUUCCCUUCCACUUGAGUAUGGGCUGGACUUAACAACCUGUUACUAAUAAAUAAGAGUAGAGUGAAACUGCUGGUUCAUGCCUUCUGAGACUAGGUGAUAUUAAUAAAAACACUGUGGCUUCCUUCUCCUCCCCUCUCUCUCCCUCUCCCUCUGUCUCAUCAAUAAUUUGCUCUGAGGAAAUCAUCUGCCAUGUCAUGAGGAUGCUGAAGCAGACCUAUGGAGAGGUCCGUGUGGAGGGGACCUGAGGCCUCCUGCCGACAGCCACGUAAGAGCACCAAGGAGCGGACCCUGUAGGUCCACUUAAGCCUUCAAAUGAUGGCAGCCCUGGCUGACAUCCUGGCUACAACCCCAUGAGAGACCUGAGCCAGAACCAUCCAGAGGAGCCACUCCCAAGUUCCUGACCCCAAGAAACUAAGAAAAUACUAAGCCCCAUCAGUCUCAGACGGAUCUCACUACGUGUCUGAGUCCUAGCUGCAGAUUUACUGAAGAACAGAUGAUCCUCUGCAAUACAUUCAGGAAAAGAGAGAUGCCACGUGGGAGAGCAUGGAAGAGUCAGUAUGCCCCCCACCACCAUGAUGAUAAACCCAUGGACUUGGUGUAUGGCAAUGGCCCUCAACAAUGCAACCUGCUCUCCAAGGUCUCAGGAUCCAUCCAUCCUGCCUGUGCUCCCUGGUUCGUUUUCCCUCCAGCCACUGCCAAAUGCCAGGACACAAGUCACCACCUCCCCUAUGCUUAGCCUUGUCAUCCUCCAUGUCAUUGAGGCCUUCACGACUCCCACUCUGGAACCAAGCAAUCAAGGCCUCUGAAUUGCACUGUUGCACUGACCGUUCACCUCCUUACUGUCUGCCUUAUGCAGAGUGCAAGCUCUGUGAAGGCAGAUGCCUCGCCUGAGUGGUUUCCAGCUGCCCCCAGAGCACCUAGAAGAGGCCCAGCAAAUAGAAGGCACUCCAUGAUUAUUUGAUAAAAGAAUGAAUAUAACCCAACACUUUAUGGCUCCCCAUAACUGGAUGCCCCCCUCCCCAUGGUCAGAUCCUUUUUAUAUUUGGUGGACAUGACAGAAAUAAAUCUCCAAAAUAAAUGAAUUCUAGAAAAUUGCUCAAAUAUGAGAAAGCAACUUUCAGUUGUUCACUUCUUUGAGAGCUCUUGAACCCUCAGGUCAAUAAAGGAGACAAAAAAAUCAUGGGGGCAAAGAAUGCAACCUGAAGCCACCUAAUUAUGGUGACUGAAUUUCUCACCAAGACAGACCAUCCAACAUCUCACCCAUGCGGGCUUACAGAGGACUGCCCGCUAAAGCUGGGGUGCACCAGAAGGUGGCCGUGCAGGGCCAUUCGCUUCAGCUGCUAUCCCAGCUGUGUUCUCAUGGCAUGGAAGCAGCUUUAAAAGCAUUUUGGGACAAUCUGGUCAUUCAAGGAAACAAAAGCCCUUCAAGUAAGUAAGUAAAUGAAUAAAUAAAGCCCGCCAUCUGUUAUCUGACAGCAGCGCCACGCGACACACACAGAUAGCCUGCCACGGACCGCGCUGUCUGACGGCCAAUCGGGUGACCCAAUGGCUGUCAACCGCUAGGGUCAGGGUAAGGGAAGCUCUUAUGAGAUGAGACAGGGCCAGGCGCUGAGAACGCCACAUUGCUGUGUGUGUUUCCGCCACGGUCACUAGGUUUGUUUCGCAUUACUGAUUCCAGUCCUCAGUCGCUCAAGGGUUCGAAGCAGCUUUAUUGAUAGAAUGUGCUCAAUAAAAUAAUAAAAUGGAUAAUAAGGUCUAGAAGACACAAGUAAGCACAGAAAAUCAAAAAGAGAAUAGGUUGGGAACUGGAGAAUGGGGAAUGAGGAUUCAGAGGAGUCCCAGGCUGGGCUCUGAGGUCAAGAUGAAAUGAGAGGUGUGCUCAGUUACACUACUCUUGGUAUCAAAAGGAGAUAUACAACCAGUGCCUCAACGGAAGGAAGACAUUUCUUUUUUUUUUAUUCUGUUCAAGUAAUUUUUAGAAACUUUUUAAAUUUGUUAAGUUCUGGGGUACCUAUGCAGGACGUGCAGGUUUGUCACAAAGGUAAAUAUAUGGUGGUUUGCUGCACCUGUCAACCCACCCAUCACAUACAUAUUAAGCCCAGCAUGCAUUAGCUCUUUUUCCUAAUGCUCUCCCCCAACUCCUGCCUCCCCCAACAGGACCCAGUGUGUGUUGUUCCCCUCCCUGUGUCCAUGUGUUCUCAUUGUUCAGCUCAUACUUGUAAAUGAGAACAUGUGGUGUUUGGUUUUCUAUUCUUGCAUUAGUUUGCUGAGGAUAAUGGCUUCUGGCUUCAUCCAUGUCCCUGCAAAGGACACGAUCUCAUUCCUUUUUAUGGCUGCAUAGUAUUCCACAUUUUAUGGCUGCAUAGUUUAUGUACUAUAAUUUCUUUAUCCAGUCUAUCAUUGAUGGGCGUUUGGGUUGAUUCCAUGUCUUUGCUAUUAUGAAGAGUGCUGCAAUAAACAUAUGCAUGCAUGUAACUUUAUAAUAGAAUGAUUUAUGUUCCUUUGGGUAUGUACCCAGCAAUGGGAUUGCUGGGUCAAAUGGUAUUUCUGGUUCUAAAUCUUUGAGGAAUUGCCACACUGGGAAGGUGUUUCUUAACAGAGGAAUUAGCAGGGCAGGUUUUGCAGUCAGACUGCCUGGGUGUGAGUCCCAGGUCCUUGACCCACUGGCUCUGUGGACUUGGGCACACUGCCCAGCCUCUCUGAAUCCACAUAGAAGGGCUGCCAUGAUGCAUGCCAAGUGCUUAGUACAGUGCAAACUGAUGGUGUUAAUUUUGUUUUUCUACUACCAUUACAUUAGUAGAAUGUGAAAACUCCAAGGUGAAGGUGAUCCUGUGAGCAGCUAGGACAGGAGAGCAAAGUGAGAGCUCUGUUUCCAGAGUCAGAAAGGCCUGGAUCUCAGCUCCACCGCUUACUAGCGAGUGUCACCUUAGAAAGUGACAAUGUCUCUGAAACUCGAAUCUUCUCAUCUGCAAAAUGGGCAAUAAUCGUACUUCAUGGAUGGUUGUGAAGGUUCAAUGAGAUCACUACAGUAACACGAUAGCUAACACUCACUGACUGCUUUCAAGCUACCAGGAGCUCAGGCAAACCUUCACAUGUUAUCUCACCCAAAAACCCAUGGAGCUAGUUACAAGGCCUACCUGGGCAACAUAGUGAGACUUCUGUCUCAAUGAAAUAAAAAAAAUUAAAAAGGUACCCCCGAAGAAAGAAGUGGGGUUUCUAGAACAGAAGCAGUGGUAUCUAUUGCAAGAGUAGAAGUGAAACAUGAUGGUAGUGUGGGUAAAGAACUAACAUACUUCUUCUUAGAAGGGGCGUGCCCUUGGAGCGAAGGGAGGCAGAGGGCCCUCAGGGAGGGCCUUCUGGAAUUGCUGGCUGUGGCUGCUGGAGGCAUUCACCUGCCCCCUCUGCUACCUGGUGUGACCUAGACUUAGAGAGACAAGAGCCCUCCACACAGUCACAGACCUGUUCAUUAAGCCUCUUUCUGUAAUGAUGCGUUUGCAGGGCUUGGGUGGGGAAUGGAAUGUUCUCCUCAGGACUGUCUCCCUAUGGCUGGUGGGAGCUGAGAGCAGAGAAGGUGGGUGCACAGCCUCCCCGCCCCAGGCUCCUGAAGCACGGCCCCUCUACCCGCUACACUGCCUCCCUCUCUCCCUCCCGGAACCUCUUUCAAUUCAUCACUCUUCACCCAGACCAAGAGCAAAUCAUCAGAGAUUUUACUUUUCCAAACUUUUCACUCCACCCCACCUGGCAGGUGUGAGGUAGCCCUUCAACAUAAACCUGGCCCAGACUGGGAAACAUCAGGUGAUGGUGAGAGAAAUCAAAAUGGUGGUUGCUAGGUACCCAUCAACAGUGGGCUGCGUAAAGAAAACGUGGUACAUAUAAAACAUGGAAUACUACACAGCCAUAAAAGAGACUGAGAUCAGGUCCUCUGCAGCAAAAUGGAUGCAGCUGGGGGUCAUUUUCCUAAGCAAAUUGAUGCAGGAGCAGAAAACCAAAUACUACAUUUUCUCACUUGUCAGUGAGAGAUAAACAUUGGGUACUCAUGGACAUAAAGAGGGGAACAACAGACAGUGGGGAGUGCCUGGGCGGGGGCAAGGGCUGCAAAACUCUUGGGUACAAUGUUCACCACCUGGGUGAACCCCCCCAAACCUCAGCAUCGCACAAUAUACCCAGGUAACAAACCUGCACAUUUACCUCCUGAAUCUAAAAUAAAAGUUGAAAAAAACACCAAAAUGGUGGUUGCCUCUGGAGGGUGGGGGGUUGUGAGUAGAAAAGGACUAUAAAUGGGAAUGAGACAACUUUCUAGAAGAAAAUAAAUGUCUUGAUUAGGUUGGCAGUUUCACAGGUGUGGUAGACAGAAUGGUCCCCGCAGACAUGUCCAUGUUCUAGUUCCUGGAACCUGUGAAAAUGCUGUCUUAUGUGGCGAAGGGGAAUUAAAGGUGCAGAUGGAACAAAAGCUGCUAAUCACCGACCUUAAAGUAGACAGAUGAGCUUGGAUUACCCGGGUGGGCCCAACAUAAUUACAAGGAGCCUUCGCUGUGGAGGCAGGAGGCAGGAGAGGAGGGUGGCGAGAGGCAAUGUGAGAAGGACUCCAUUCACCAUUGCUAAACCUGAAGAUGGAGGAAGGAGCCACAAGCCAAGGGAUGUGGGUGGCCUCUGGAAACUGGAAAAGGCAAGGAAGCCUUCUCCCCUAGAGCCUCCAGAAAGGAGCGCUGGCCUGCCAACACUUGCUUUAGUCUAGUCUAGUAAGACUCAUGUUGAACUUAUAAAACAAUACAUUUGGUUCCUUUAAGCCACUCAGUUUGUAGGAAUUUGUUACAGCAGCCACAGAAAACUGGUACAAUGGGUAUAGAAACAUUUGUCAUAUCGAAUCAAAGUCUACAUUUAAAAUCUGUGCCUAUGAUUAUAUGUCAAUUAUAUCACAAUAAUAAUAAUUAAAAAAAGAUAACAGAAAGUCUGCUUUGUUCCCAGAAAGCUGGGGAACUCUGUAGAGGGGCCACCUUCUGAGGCUGCCUCUCCACCAGAGGGAACGGCAUCUGCCCCCGCCAGGCCGACCUCUCCUCACCCUCCAGUCGUCUCCAAAUCACAUUUGAUUCCAGAGCCCUUUCCAUAUAAGCUGUCUCACCAGAGUCUUAGGAGAUUGCCAAGGCAGAUAUCAUCAUUCAUAAAUCUGUCACAUUAUAGAUGAGAGAGCUGGGGUUAGGAGAGGUCAGUGACUUGUGGCAGAGCCACAACCAACUCUCCUCCCAUCUGCACGUUGAACCGACACAGACAACCAGCCCCAGCAGUGAGGCCGGAGUCAAAGGCUGGGAAAGCAGAAGACACAAAGCUGGUCUGCGGGCAGAUCCUCAGCACCAGUCCCAGACAUCCCUGAUGACAGAUCUGAUCAGAUACGCUUUAAGGAAAAGGCCAGGGCAGGGGCAGGGGCAGGGUGAGGCAGUGACCCCGGCAGUGGCUGUUUCCAUCCUGAAUCCACUGGACAGGGGGAAAGGGAAGUGGGCAUGGCUGCUGUCAGCCAACCUUCAACCACAACAAAAGAGCAAGAGAACACAGAUCACAGAACUCUGCAGCUGGAAGCACUGGAAUCCAGCAGUUUCCAAAUGCCUUUUUCAGCAGGGUAACGUGCUCCUCUCCGGUCCCAAAACACCAUCUUAGGAUAAAGACGCCGCUAGAUAAAAGACAAAAGGCAAAACAGCUCCAUAUGAAGCAGAGCAAAGAGGGUCCCCUCCCUCUUGCCAUUGAAACUCCUUGGAACUUCAGGAGAGCAGCACUUGAAAACCACCCAUGUCGUCCAUCCUUCCACAUUUCACAGAUGAGGAAACUGAAGCCCAGAAAGGGAAAGAGACUUGCCAGGGCCACACAGAACCUCCCUCCCCUGACUGCCCAAGACAGUUACUUUUGACCACACUGGGGUGUGGCUGGUUGAAACUACAACCCGAGUUUACAUUCUUACCUUCUGAUAAUUGUCAAGUAGACAGUUUUCCCUCCUUGGGUUGACUGAGCUGUAGAGGGGCCAAUGAAUCCGGGUCUUAGAUUAAAAGAAUAACAAAACUACCUUUUCAGAUCAGCCUUGAAAAUAAUAUAAUAUUGCUUAAUUAGCCUGGCUCCCCCAUCCUCCCCCAGCCCUGCAAGUCCUUGCAAAGCCAUGGAGCGUGGUUAUGACGAGCCUGCCUUGCUUCAGGAACAAGAGCCACCCCGAGGUUAGGGGCUAGUGGACAGUGACGGCCACCUCGGUGACAGCAGGGAGACAGAGGGCCUGGAAUUAUCACUGGAUGCAAGUUGGACACCAGUCUUUGGCCAUUUACAUAACACCCACCUCCUUUCUGGAUCCACCUAUCUUACCCUUCCCUGGAAAGGGGUAUUAUUGUUAGACAACUGUAGCACUUUGCAUCUGAGUAGCUCUUGGUAGUAAUCAAAGUGUUUUUGACACCUAACGUUUCAUAACAACCUUGCUGGACCCCAGCUUCCAUGUGAUGCUGACAUGGCAGAUGGUAAGACCCUCAUUUUUCAGCUAACGAACCCAGGGCACAAAUGAGGUUAAGUAAAUUGCCCACGAUCACAUGGCUGGAUAGCAAGGAGCCAAGGCCAUAAUUUAGGUUUCCCGACUUCCAGUUCUCCAGGCACGCUCUGCCUAGCCAGGUGUGUUUUAUUACCUAGUUCAAAGGGGGACACUCCUUUCUUUAGGUGCAAGAGGUCACAGUCCUAAUCAAACUGUGUAAACAAGUGGUCCUGGGGAGGAGAAUAGGAGAGACAAAUCUUCUCCAUGACCUAGACAUAUACCCAUGAAGCCAUCUUUCCCAGAAUUCAGGAAGUUCAGGGGAAAAGACAGGCCUUGCAGUCCAAGGAUCAUGGUGCUCCCUGGAAUGUGAGCCAGCCUACCUGUCCGUUUCUGGGCCACCAGACCAUUCUAGGGGAGGAGCCCCUUUGUGGCAUCUUAGCUGCAAGACAGGGCAGUGGCGGGGAGCAUAGAUGUAUGUGUCCCAGGGUGGAGCCUGGUGGGAGCGGGCAUGGCUUGCGGGGGAGCAGUCCAGCACAGAGUGACGGCUGCAGGACUCAGAUCCUUCCUCAAAGAAAAGCAUUUCCAUCAGCUUCUAAAAGUUGGUCCACCUUUCAGAAGCCCUCGCUCUGGGCCUUGAGAGAAUCCAGAGAAUGGGAUUUUCCACCUCACUGCCUCAUAAGACAUGGCCCUGACCCAUCUAGCCCAUGACACUCACCACGGCUGCUCACUUACCUGCUGCAGAAUGAUUUAAGUUCUCAGGUUAAGGCCAAGAAUUUGAAAAAUGUGGCUGCCAAACAGUGAGCCAAAGCUUGAGUUUCCACAGGCUGAGGAAAAUUCUCUGUGGGCAUCUUUGAUUUUUCUCUUUUCACAUCAACUCUGGGAGUCUCAGGGACUUCAGAGGACAUCUCCCACCAGACUAACCCACUCCUGCCCAGCUUGAACAGAUACUCUGUGGGUGACAGAGCAACGCCAGUGGCUACCAAGAGGUGGGGCUUACCUUGGCUGUCUUCCUACACCUGUGGUGAACUGAGAACUCCCCACUCCCUGGGGACCCUCUCUCUGCAAGUUUUAUUAUAGUGAACGGCAACUGAACGUUUCCGAUUUGCCGGGCGCUAAGCGCUUUAUAUGCAUUAUCUCAUUUCAUCCUCAGAAGCACCCCAUGGGGUAGGUGCCAUUAUCAUCCCCAGUUUACAGAUGAAGAAACUGAGGCCCCAAGAAGUAACCCGCUGAGUCAUCCACCUAAUAAGUGCCCUGGCACCCAAGCCCCACCUGUCCGACGCCUCAGCCCUGUUCCCAACCACAUGCUCUGUUAAACACCUCUCCCCUGAGCAAGAGUCUGUCCUGUUCUGAACACCUUUUGGCAUUUUAUAAUCCACCCCACCCCUACCCCUACCCACCAGGUCUUUCAGAGGCAUAAACAGGCUCCUCUCACAGUAAAGAAUAGUGGCAGAAGGUACACAUGCAUUCGAAUGCCUCAACUUUCCCAUGACGUUUAAUACAUUUGUUAAUAUGGGUUCCCAAACAAUCCCCUUCUGCAAGCUGAAGGGCUGCCAGGGCUGGGGUAAUAAAUUAUUAACAAAACCAUUGUCACACAAUGACUGCUGUGGGUCUGGAGUCCUUUUUUAGAAACCAAUGAUUACAAUCAAAACUCAAAGACCAGGAACCAUGAACUAGGUAAUAAAACACACCUGGGUAGGCAGAGAGUGCCUGGAGAACUGGAACUCGGGAAACCUACAUUUUGGCCUUGGCUCCUUGCUAUCCAGCCAUGUGAUUGUGGGCAAUUUACUUAACUUCAUUUGUGCCCUGGGUUCUUUAGCUAAAAAAUGAGGGUCUUACCACCUGCCAUGUCAGCAUCACAUGGAAGCUGGGGCCCACCCAGCAAGGUUGUUAUGAAACAGUAGGUGUGAAAAACACUUUGAUUACUACCAAGAACUACUCAGAUGGAAGGUGCUACAGUUGUCUAACAAUAAUACCCCUUUCCAGGGAAGGUGUAAGAUAGGUGGAUCCAGAAAAGAGCUGGGUGUUACAUAAAUGGCCAAAGACUAGUGUCCAACUUGCAUCCAGUGAUAAUUCUAGUUGGUUCUGGUAGGUUGAAUGGCCUCUAAAUUGACAGCAAAAACACAAUGAAUGGCAAUUCCCAUUAAGUGUCACAAUGUAGAAUUUUUUUUUUUAAGUUUGGACGGCAUGAAAAAGAACGAGAUCAUAUCUUUUGUGGGAACGUGGAUGGAGCUGGAGGCUAUUAUCCUCAGCAAACGAAUGCAGGAACAGGAAACCAAAUACUGCACGUUCUGGCGUAUAAGUGGGAGCUAGAUGAUGAGAACUCAUGAACACAAAGAAGGAAACAAUAGACACUGAGGUCUACUUGAGGGUGGAGGGUGGGAGGAGGGAGAGGAGCAGAAAAAAUAACUAUUGGGUACUGGGCUUAGUACCUGGGUGAUGAAAUAAUCUGUACAACAAACCCCAGUGACAUGAGUUUACCUGUAUAACACACCUUCACAUGUACCCUCAAACCUAAAGUAAAAGUUAAAAAAAAAUUUGGCUGAAAUUUCACUAGCUAUAAAAGCCAUUCAAAUUUCUGCACGUGCAGAGAUAAACAUCGUUGCUUCCGCUUGUCAAAGUUUAAUACACCCAAAGGCAGAAUACAAGCUUGUGUCAGACCCUCCUCUCAAGUAAUCCCCAGCCUUUCCACAUAAAGCAUUUCCCAACAUUUUAAACCAGUCUCGACUUCAGCAAAAGUCUGACCUAUGAAAAGGGCCUAAUAGUGAGUACAAUGGGCAUUCAGAAUUGGACCCUCCCUUGGCAUAAAUUAUCACUCACCCUAACAAGAAACUUUUUUGCAAGGUCUGAUGGCUUUCAACCAGCCAACAUCUGCAGCUCUCAGUUUACCAGCCUCUCUCAGGAUGUUUCCAGCUUUAAUGAGUUCAGAAAUAACAUAGACUUCCAAGUAGAAAGGAAGCGAUGAAGUGAAGCAAGUCUGUAUUGGAGAGGUGUCAACAUUUCAAUUUCAUUUGUCUGAAAUAAGGUCCUCCCUCAUCCACACUGUACAGUCACCUUUUAACAAGUGAGAGACAAACCAGUUUCAACUACCCUGCCAGGCAAGGGUGGGGCAGACGCCCUUCGCUAUGCCUGACACCUGAGAGAAAAGGUGGAGGACAAAGAACCCUUCCUUCACUCUUAUUAAUCUGGUCACUGGGCUCUGGGGAACGGCCUAAGCUCCAGGGUCAAGGCCAAGGCAGGGGAUCUUCAUGAUGAUUUUCAAGGUGAAUUCAGUCUUCUUCAAGCAGCAAAGUCCAACCUGUUCUAUUAAAAACACUUUUCAGGGUCCAGUAUGGUGGCUUACAGCUGUAAUCACAGCACUUCCGGAGGCCAAGGUGGAAGGACUGCUUGAGCCCAGGAUUUCAAGACCAGCCUGGGCAACAUAGCAAGACCCCAUGUCUAAAAAAAAAAAAAAAAAUGUUUUUAAUUGGGGGAAAAAACACCUUUCUUCUGAGACAGAAAGCUCAACAGCUCUCCUUUCCUGUCUCCCAGUGCCCACGGGAACUGGGACUUACUGGGAAAGCUCUGCCCUAUCUGGUAAGCAGCGUGGUCCCCCUCCACCCUGUGUGGAUCAGAACGCUAACAGUUUCACACAUAUUCAACAACAACUCAACCAACAAACAGUAAUUCCUAAAAAAAAAAAAAAAAAAAAAUUAAAGGUAUUAUCGUAGGAAGCCCCUGAUGGUGUAGGCAGGCUACUGGCAACCACUGUUUCCAGCAAUUUUCAACAGUAAAACCAGAUUUCAGAGAAGCAGGUCAGCCACCACCCUGGAGGACCCUGUGGCUCUGACCCAGGAACAAGAAGUUAAGGAGACUCCAAAUUUUCUCUGGGUUCAAUAGUCAAACAGAUGCCAAAGGCCAGUAUCUUUUGUGGGGAUACACGGCACAGCCGUCUGUCUCUUCCAGCCAAGUCAUGAAGAUUGGAAAGCCUCCAGACAAAACAAAGAUGACCAGUGGAGUGUCAAAUCAACGAUACCCUUGAAAACAGAUGUAAAAUAGAUGCAACAUCAAAAUUUGCCUGAAGUGGAAGGGGACUGUGGUAGGAAGCUCCUUGGUAAUCCUCCAAGAGGGCAAGAAGGUGUUCUGGUGGCUCUUCAAGCCAAUAUGAGGCUUAUUAAAAAGGUACUCUAAAGCAAAGGAGAGUUUGGUUAGAUCUCAGGAAGGACUUUUGUCCAAGGAAUCAGAGGGCUUUAAAAUCUCAGUCCAUAAAGAAGGAAUGAACAAUGUGAACUGCAUGUCUGGGCUGCAGGAGACACAUGCUAGCCUCUGAGGGUGGCUUCCAGGGCUGGUUCUAUGAUUCAAUGACAAGUAUCCUCUGGUGGCUCUUGUGAAACUCUCAGGUCCUGUCUCAGCUCACCCACAUGAUCACUGUGGGAACUGUGGCCAGGAGGACAUGAAGACUUUCUCAUCAGACCUCCACCUUGUCUCAUGAACCCUGAAAAGACAGAUGCAAGAGGUGCUUGGAAAAUUCUAUCAUCAAGUCCUCUUCCCGGGAGGAGGGUCCAGUGCUGAGGACCUGGCAGUGACUUGGGUGCUGUUCCUCCAUGGGGGUGGCAAUCUGCAUCGUGGAGAGCGAGGGCUGAAGCAGGAGUUGCAGGGUCAGGGGAGUCGAUCUCUGGAAACAACUCCCCAGGUCUUAUUUCCAUUCUGUGUACCUGAGGGACAAUGAAUCAACACCAACCAACAUUUCCUGUCCUCAAUGCUCCGAGGUUCCCAGGGAAUUCAACUUGAAAUUUAUACAGAUGCCAAGAAUAAUCCUUGCCACCCCCCCCCCAUUUUCUGUGUUUGUGCAGUCACACGGCUCAGUGAAAGCGAUCUCUAUCCUGCAUCUUUAGCAAGGUAGAAACAUACGCAUAGGGGUGACUUAGGAACUGGGUGGGUUUGGACAGCUCAUUUAUUAACUUCCAUCCUCAGUUCCCUCAUCUGCAAUGGAGAAAGAGGAGGAGAACCACUUGAGAUUCUAUUGCAAGGAGUGCAGGAGAGAAAACAGGUGAGAGCCCGCACAGUACCGGCAGGGUGUCUACACCAGCCACGUUCCCUUCGCUGCUCUCCACACAAACUGUGACAAGGACACUUGGCCAUAGAAGCCGAAAAAAAUAAAUCCACUCAGGCCGGAUGGAGGCAAGGACACUGGCUUAGGUGGCAAAGCAUCAAGCAAAGCAAGUGCCUCCUUGAUGAAGACUGCAGUCACCCCCAGUCAACCCUAGUCCUUCCCAACUCAACUGACUCUCGGGUACAGCCGAGUCUGGUCCCCAGCAGAAUGCUCUGGGACUCUUCAUGUCUCCCCACCCUGCAUCCCCAUCUUGCUGUGUGCUGGCCCACCAGGUAACUUCCACACGGCCACAGAGAGCAUCCCUGGCAGCUGACAGUAAGAUGUACAGAUGGCCAAGCGGUUAGAGCAGGGCAGGGUGAAAUCACACAGCACUCAUCUGGGUAAAGCUGCUUUGUAUAUUAGGGCUUUGGCGGCGGCAGCGCAUAUCCAAGCAGGGGACAGGCCCAAGCCAACUUGGUGCCCUUUAGAAGCACCGACUAGGGAUCGGCGGGAACCACAGAGAUCACCUCAUCCAGCCCCGACUUGAUGACAAGCCCAUCACCCUGGUGGAGCAGAUACUUUCCGCAGCUCUGCCCCUGACCGACCACCAUGGGGUAGACCGCGUUAGCUUCCUUCACUCAGCUCCUCCAACAUCCCAAGCACAAGCCAACCCUCUUCUGAAAUACUCUUGCCCUCUGCUACUCUUCACACAGCUCCUUCUCUUCGCAUCUGUUGGGUCUCAGCUUGAACGGUAUCUCCCCAGAGAAGCCCUCCCUGGCCACGCUUCGUGGCGCCUGUUUGCUUCCCCAUCACACUUCUCUGAAGCUCUGAUUUAGCUGAUGAUGAGCUGAUUUCCUAGCUCUGUCUCCCACAAGACUGUAAGCUCCUGGAGGGCAGGGGCUAUGUUGGUCUCAUCCCUGACUGUAUUGACGCCAAUGUGUAUAGCACCUGACACCCAGGGAGUGCUCAGUAAGUAAACAUCUGCUAUAUUAAGCCGGCUGUGGUGACACAAGCCAGUAGUUCUAGCUACUCCGGAGGCUGAGACAGAAAGAUCUCUUCAGCCCAGGAGUUCAAGGCCAGCUUGGUCAACACAGUAAGGCCUCUUCUCUCUUUUUAAAAAAUUUACUAUAUUAAUGAAUGAACAAUAAUCCUGAAGGAGGUGCAAUUCCGAAACACUCAAGCCAAGCUUUGCAUCCAUGGCAGCUGAAGUAUAACUUUAUGGCCAGAAGAAGCCUGCAUGUGAAAGCUCAAAGUCCUGCUAAGUGGGAAUAUGCAGCACACCGCAGACCAGCCAAAGGCAGCUGAUGUGGUGUUGUCACCUCUACGGGCUUAUCCGGUUUUUGCACGUAACUCUGUGAUGGGCUCAGCCUGGCUGAGGAUCCUUAAUCCAUCGAGUUAACUGUUAACUACCCCGGCCCCAGUGACACAGCAGCUUGCAUGAUUAACUACAGCCCGGGAGGGAUGAUCAUUUGUGCACCUUCCGUCUCCAAACCUGGCUCCCUCCCCAGACUUGAUAGCUACAAGCUCUGGGCUCAACAGUUUGUGGGUUUGUGUUGCAAGGAGGCUAAUAAAAACAUAUUUCUCAAAUACCAUAUGGUGAGGGCAACUGCAACACAUCCUCCUCGAAGAGCAAUAAAAUAUAUAUAUUUUUAAAGUCCUGAAUUCCAGGGGAAAAACGAGGCUUGAAGACUUCAGAGGGUUUACAGGACUAUCCCCUUCAGUGUCAGAGCCAUCUUGAUCAAAAGUCUAAAACCCAGGAAUAGGAAAUUGGUAGAAACUUUGAGAGAGCCUCUGACAGUUUCAAAGAGGAACUCAGAGGACCUCAGGAAAUGUGAGCGGGCAUAGAUUUCUCCGUGAAAAGGAGGGUCAAGGCAGAAGAACCAGAGGCAACUGUGAACAUCAAGUCAGUUCUCAGGGAAGCAGGGGAUCCAAGUGUGUACAUGAGGCGCCUUCACUGUCCCUGCAUCAGGAAUCUAGCUGUUGGCACCUUAUAAUGAGAAAACAGUCUCAACCAUGAAGUUAACUCUGCUGGAAGAUUUCCAAAGGGAAAGUCCCUCCCGUUACUCAGAGGGGAAAAAAAAAUUACCUACUUGGUCUGGAAUCCGGGGAUAUUUUAUGCAGAUGUCUCUAACAGAAGUUAAUAAAGGGAAGUCAGCUUGCCUCUGAUUAUUCAAACAGGCUACUGCUAUUAAGGAUUGCACAACUUCUGGGCAAGGCAGAGGGCAAGAGGACAAAGGAGGAUGCAUGGAAAUACAAACAGCCCUUCUCCUCCAGGCCAUACCGACUGUCCAACUAGCAACAGACUUCACCUGGUUUUGGAGCAAUCUGAAUUUGGAAUAUGCCAGAGAAAACUUCUAUCAGGCAAGAUGGAAGACUCCUAGGAUAGGUCUCUCUCAUGGAGGGAUUGGCACGAUGGUAAGAGUCCAGUGGAUGGAAAAGGCCUCCUCCUUAAAGAUGGUGAUGGAAACGAGCACUGCACAGGGAAACACAAAUCAGGUCCCCUGAAAUCCAGCCCAACCUGGCCAGACCCUCCAGUGCCCAUCAGGGCUUAUGAACAGGGUGCUUCAGUGUCUUUGUUAGGGGUGGUUAAAAAGGAGCACGUGCUUAUAGGGGAUGCUGCUGAGCUCCAUGAUUUUGACUUCCUGUCUAACCUGUUGAUGCUACAAAACUCUUUUAAAAACAGUUACCAUGGGAACUUUUCCCUAGCAAGCAUUCUUCAAGAAACGUUACAGGUGCUGGUGAAUUCAAUGCCCUUGGUGUCAAUAAGCUUUUGCUGAGUCUUAGAAUGUGUGGCUUGAACUGAGAGGACUUUCAAACAGAUAAUGCGAAGUUUCCAAUGCAAAUGUCUUCGGGGUUAAGUGUCAGUGAAGUGCAGUGGAAGGUAGGGGGAUAAAAUGAUCUCAGUGUAUAUGGAGGCCCCACUUAAGCAUUCAAAAAAUUCUAUAUACAGUGUUUUCAAUGUAUUAUGUAUCAGCAAAACAAAAUACCCCAUAGGGCUAUAAUCAGCUCAGGGGGUCACCUCAGCAAGAGAUGCUCUGGCUAUCACUCCUACUACGGGAUUUCCUCUCUCAUCAGAACCAGUAGGUGGUCAAAACCACAAUAAUGCAUAAAUGAAGGCAGGGAAUUGGGUAUCCAAUGUGAGCAACUGAAAAGGUGCCAUGUAUUAGCUAUUUGCCAUUAUGGUUCUGCAAGUGCUCAGAUGACUCAUAAAAUGACCAGAACAAAAGUUUGUUCUUUUGUUUUUACUUUGAGAAGAUAAAGAAUCACGAAUUAGUAUUCAAGGUUACCUAAUACUAACCCUUGUCUACCACGUGACCUUGCAUUACAGGGAGCUGUUGUUGGGACAGGACAAGAGUCCACAUCCCCUGCCCAGUGCCUGGUUCUGGGUCAUGUCACCGAAGCGCAUCAGCCCAUCUGUCAGCCAAACCCCACUAGCCUUGUGCCUUCUCUUCUAAAUCCCCGCGGAGGAAAACAACUUCUGCCUUCUACAGUACGAACAGCGAGGGUCUGCUGGGAACCAAUACAACUUCGCGUCCCAGUGCAGCAAUGUUGCCAGGUAACAAAUGUAGAAACAUACUCCAAAAACUGUAUGUGACAAUAUACAACCUCCGCUCUGCAGCUGAUAACCGAGGGAGUGUUAAAACACCGCGUUCUCUUAACACUUGGGUUUUUGGUGUGAAAGUAAAAUUAAACGGGAUACUUCCUCUUGUAAAUAUAAGACAGGCAUACAACUCACACACGUAUCCACUAAUCGGAAAUAGUAGAGGGGUUUGCAAUAGCUAUCUGCAGUGCAUCCCAGCCUUCACUCUUACCCUCAAGAUGAAUUCCAGAAAACCUACAGAAACGAUAACUGAGGAAGAGCCUUUCUUCUGUCGGGGACAAGCUCUCCUCUAACAAUUGUGAGGAAGCUACCCACAAGAAAGACACCAGCAGAAAUUAAGGAAAAGCUCAUGCAUUGUUAUUAAAAAAAAAUGUGCUUCCAUUCCACUCCAUUUUAAAGGUCUACCUUUAAAACUCAUUGGCUAACCAAGCAGUGACUACUUGCUUCUCAGAUCAAAUAACCAGUGCAGCCUGUUCCCACCCCAAACGAAAACAAGAUAGACACUGCUCUCUAGUAGGCAGAGCUCCAAAGUGGGUACAGGGCACUGAAUAGCUCCCUCACAUUGUACUCAUGUAACUUAAAGGCUGGCUAGCAUGGGAGAAAGCUGAGAGACUUCUGAGGGCCUUGUGUUCAAAUCCCAGCUCUGCCAACUGGGUGACUUUGGGUAAGACACAUGGCUUUUUUCAGACUCAGUUUCCUCAUCUGCAAUUGGGACUAUUCCAUGUAGCCCAGAUAGAGUACCUACUGGCUCCACGCACAGUGCUGGGCACUUUAUAAAAUGAGAAGACCUUCCUCCCUUUCCCUUCGCCCAAACAUGAAUAUUCUUCAACCAGUAAAGACUCAGAUGUGGGGAGUAUCUGGUGCAUUUAGCUUCUCUGAGCAAAACGGGCAAAAGCUGAGAUCUAAUAACCAUCACAUGAUGCCAAAGAACAUAUGCUUCUUUAGACGCAAGCGAAAAACAAAAAUCGCUAUUAAUCCAACUUUUCAUAACGGCCCUAAUUAGAUGAGCUGCUGUCAAUCUCUUCCACAGUGAGGAAGUUCUGUAGGACAGUCUUCCUGUCAUUAACUUUCCUAAGACCUGGGAACCUGGAACUUGCUGGAAGUACAUGUAUGUAGCACACAUAAUUGUCAUUUGGCAAAUGAGAUGCCCAGUCUGAAAGGAAAAGUCUUUCAUGAUUUCCUCCUCCAGAAUUCAUGGGCAGACCUUAUAAACAAAGCAAAUACACUGACCACUCGAGCUGCCUUCUGAUUAUCAGGAGGGCACAGUGUCUCCCACAAAGACUCCACUACCAAAGAAAACAAAAUGUGGAGGCACAACUUCCAAUCUGCCUGGCAAACAGACGCAAAGUCCUUGAAGCGGCCAUGUCUGUGCCUGGAAAAUUGGUGGAGUAAGGAGGCGGCAUGGUAGAGAGGUUACAAACUCACGUUCUGGCAGAAAACAAACCCUGGAACAACUACCAGCUGGCUCUGUGACUCUGAGCAUAUAACCUGACCUCUCGGAUCCUCUAUUUCCUCAUUAGCAGAAAGGGAUCAAAACAGUACCUACUACAUAGGCGCCCCAGGAAGAUGGAUGAGACCAUGCAGUGAGGGCGCCUGGCUAGCCCGUGGUACAUGAGCACUUGUUACCACUACUGUCCAUCAUUAUUACAAAGAAGAAGAAAAGAGGACUGCUGCCAUCAUAAGGCUAUUUCUCCAAGUUGACAUGUAUUUCCCAUGGGCUCAGAUCAAUUCCCUCCCACACCUAAAGAAGGUCCCCUUUAAAAUGGCAAUAAUCAUCAACAACACAAGUUCACAUUUCACAUCCUCAUGUUUCUAUUCAAAAAUGGUAAGAAGGCUAAAGUAACACGGUGGCCACACUGGGUCAGAACUUCUAUCUCUACAUUUACAGUCUGAGUGCUGGGGAGUCAGAUGGAGACUUGACCCCGGAAGAAAGUGCACCCUUGGGCGAGUUAGUGGGUGAGGGAAGAUAAACAACCAAAAAGUAAGCAGAGUUGCUUUGGAUGAGCUGUUACGAUGUGUUAAAAGCUCCAUGCUGAGCUGAGUGCCUUCCACAUAUUAUCUCAGUGAAUUCCCAGAAUAGUUUAUACAGUAGGAGUAUCCACACUGAUUCAUCAUGUACACACUGAGGACCUUUCAUCCAGCACGUGUGGAGGCUCCUCGAGGGGACUCGGAGUGAAGACAGACUUGGUCUCUGCCCCCUCGGGUCUUACAGUCAAGCUCCAGUUGAAGUGUGGUCAUUACUACAGUAAAUGAAGCACAACCCAUUAUCUCUGCCUCAGGGGAUCAAGAGGAAGUUUCUAGAGUAGGAGACAUUUCAAUCAGGGCUUGGGGAGCCUGCCAAAGGGAAUGAGGGCACGUCCCACAUGAAGCAAAGGCAUCUGAGUUCAUGGCCCCGCUGGGGAUUGGCAGGCAUGAGUUGCAGCUGCAGGACAAUAAGCGUAGGGGAGUGAGUGGAGAAACCCAGGUGGGGCCAGACCACGUGAGGCACUGAUGGGUUCCAUCAGGGUGGCCAUGGGCUCCAUACUCCACAGAAGGCUGUUCAGAUGGGGAAGCAGGUAGUGAGGGUUCCAUUUGGGGGGCAUCACUGACAACCGCGUGGAAGAGAGAAAUGCCCAGAGGCAGGAGGCCACUAAAAGGCUAUCUCAGUUAUCCAGGCAAAAAGGCUGACAGGUGCAGAUCUCAGCAGCCCUAUGCUGGCAGGCGGUCGAGCCUGGUGGUCAAGAAUAUGAAUCCUGAAGUAACAGUGCCUAGUUUCAAACCGCUGCUCCUCCAUUCCCAGCUGGGCCACUCUGAAUUCACAGUGCCAACUAUCUGGCUCAUUAUAAGUCCUAACAAUGGUUAAACUCCCAGGAGGUAGAGUGGGCACAGAUUAGUUCCUGGAGAAAAGCAAGAGAAAAAGAAGUCUGAUGACUGCAAAGCUUCUAGCUUGGGUAUCCUUGGCUGGUGGUGAGUCCACUGAGAAAGCUAUGGAACACGAGAGGGCAAAUAGAAUGGAGGAAGGGAGAUGACAGUGUCAUGGGGUCCUGCUAACUUAUAGCUAACACAAGUGGAGAUGCCCAUCAGGGAUUUGAGCAGAAAUCUAGAAAUCGGCAGAGAGGUGGGACCGAGAGCUGUAUCUUUGGGAGGUGUUGGCAUAAAUGGCUGCUGGAGGCCUGGGCAGUAGAUGAGAUUACCCAAGGGGAUCGGUAGAAAAAGAAGGCAAACAGGCUGGAGAUGGGGCCUCAAAACAUUUCAGAUGUUUUAAGGUCAACCGUAUAUGCCCUGAGAAGUCCCUGUGUUUACCACUAGGAAAACGUUUGUAGGAGGCACAGAAAUAGCACAGCAUUAAGCCAUAAGGGAGUGACUAACCUGAAACCAUGAUGCUUUGGGGUAGGACGGUCAGAGGGGGCUCACAGAUCCAAAGUCUGUAAUCGCAGGUGUCUGGACUCUCAGGCUACAUAUACAAUUUCCUAAGGAAUGUCCUGCUUUGUCUGCGUCCCGAAUCUGUGUUGAAAGAUAGUAAACUGGGGUGAUGGAGUACAUCCUGGCAGAGGCUAUGUGGGGAGAGCAGAGAUGACUCUAGGGAAGAAAACGUCUUUUAAAAAACAACCCUGUCUGCUCCCACCAAAAGGAAGAAAGAAAAGAAAGAAAAAAAUGAAGGAAAAGGGGAAAGGAAGGGAAGGAAAGAAGGGAGGGAGGAAGAGAGGGAGGGAGGGAAGGAGGGAAAGAAAAAAAAAAGACAGUGAGAAAGAGAGAGAAAGAAAGAAAACACAGAAAGAGAAAGGAAAAGAAAGAGAUAAAGAAGAAAAGAAAGGGAAGGAGGAAGGAAGGAAAGAGAAGGAGAGAAGGAGGGAAAGAGGGGAACGAAGGAAGGAAGGAGGGAGGGAGGGAAGGAAGGAAGGAAGGAAGGAAGGAAGGAAGGAAGGAAGGAAGGAAGGAGGGAGGGAGACAGAGAGGGAGGAAGGGAGGGAGGGAGGCCCCAGCCUGUUUCCCUGAAUUCCCAUUUAUUAGCUGAGUAAGUGGCCAACAUAUCUUGGGACUUAGGAUAUUGCUCAUCUGGUGAAUAUUUACUUAAAAAUUGCCAUACCAGGGGAUGAGGAGCACAGAACAAAGGGGAAAUACUGUGGUUCUUUCCCUUAGGCAGUUUAACAUCUACAUAGUAAAGAUUAAACAAACCCUAGGGUCAGCAAACAUUUUUCCAAAGGGCCAAAUGGUAAACAUUUCACACGCUGAGGGUCAUUGCAGCUAUCUGUCACAACUACUCAACUCUGCCCCUGAAGCAGGAAAGCAGUUAGGACAAUCCCAAAGGAAAAACUGCAGCUAUGCACCAAUAAAACUUUAUCUACAAACACAGGCAGCUGUCUGGAUUUUUCCCGUGGGCUACCAUUUACUAAUCCCUGAACCUCCAGAGGAAGACUGACCAAUCCUCUGCCUGGCAGUUCCCAAGAGGCAUCUCACACUCGGAAGUCACUAAAGAAAGUUAGGAAGAGCACAGACCUCUUGCUAGACCAGAAGGAAGAGAAAGAAAUAAGGAAUAUCUGGACCUGUUGAGGAUUCAGUGGGAUAAAAUGAAUUGAUGCCUCACUUUACAAAAAUUUCCAGGUCUUCUCUGUCAUUUUUCUCUGCACUUUUAGUAAAAUUUUGGAGACUGUGGAAAACCUGAGGUUCUCUCUGAAGACAUCUCCUCUUAGAAACAAAUUCCUAGCCAGCGUGGUGGCUCACGCCUGUAAUCCCAGCACUUUGGGAGGCUGAGGCGGGCGGAUCACUUGACGUCUGGAGCUCAAGACCAGCCUGGCCAACAUGUAGAAACCCCGUCUCUACUAAAAAUACAAAAAAUUAGCUGGGCGUGGGGGUGGGCACCUGUAGUCCCAGCUACUCAGGAGGCUGAGACAGGAGAAUUGCUUGAACCCAUGAGGCGGAGGUUGCAGUGAGCUGAGAUCGCGCCACUGCACUCCAGCUUGGGUGACAUAGUGAGACUCCGUCUCAAACAAACAAACAAACAGACAAACGAACAAGAAACAAAUUCCUGCUUCUAGGUUUCGCAGAAAGGAAGGAGAUUAACAUUCUGCUUCCAAAGUUCUUCCCCUCCCCCUUCCCCCUCAACAACUGUAGUCCUCUCAUGGAAGGCCAGACAAGCAGAUGUAUGUAACUGUCCACUUCUGCCCAUAUUGUUGGCUCUGCUACUCAGGAAAUAAGAAAAAUCACGCUGGGUCUCCAGCUCCUCUGGAAGCAUGAACCAGGAUGCACAUUCUCCCCUGGGACCACCUCAAAGGGAUUGUGCCUCUUAUCACCAACCUGGAGGGACUCACAGAUGAAUGAUGCUGACAAGUCUUGCAGUAAUUUCUUGCCCCGAACUGGGAAACUGAAUGCCAGUAGGUGCAUGCAUUACCUACUGUCUGCCGUCACUCAGAGAGCUGCGCUAAGGAUGACCAGGGCAGAGUUGUGGGAACUGCCAUCUUCUUCUGCAGGAGGGCUCACUCAAGUCUGAUAUGCCUAAGAAUGUAACGACUUUUGAAUUUUGAGCUUCCUCCUUAAGACCUGGAUUUAGACCAAUAAUCCUCAAGGACUCCUGUUCAAUAACAGUCCAGUUUCCUGGGAAUGGUGAAGAAGGGUGUGAGGUGUUCAGGUCAAAGGCAGAUAAAGUAGGAGGAAAGGAAGAGAAGGAGGGAAAGAAAGGAAAGGAAAAAAGGACAGACAAGACAAUGGCCUGGGCCAGGGAGCACUUCAAACCACAAAGAAGUGACUAGAUUGCUGUUUUUCUUUCUGCUUCAUCCCAGAAUGUCUCUCAUUACUAUUAGUGGCAAAAACCGCAAUUACUUUUGCACCAACCUAAAUAACCUGUACUCAAGGCAAUGAAAUUUCCCAAUGUCCUGGAGUUCUAAAAUCAUUUUUAAUAUACAGUCAGAAGGACUUGGGUCAAUUGAGUGUGAAAAUAACAUAAGACAGAGCGUCCCCCAGGCCUGCUGGAUGAUAAACCACUAUGCAAAAAUAGAAAAUAUCAGAAGUAGGAUUUUAGACAGAAAACACAUUUCACAAAAUACAGCAUGUAUUUAAAAUAAAUAAAAAUAUUAUUAAUUAGAACCGAGCAUGGUGGUCCGCACCUAUAGUCCCAGCUACUCAGGAGGCUGAGGGAGGAGGAAUGCUUGAGCCCAGGAGUUCAAGUCUAGCCUCAGCAACAUAGCAAGACCCUAUCUCUUAAAAAUAUAUAUGAACAAAUAAAAAUAAGAACCACAUCAUCUUGAGAUCUUUGUAUUGGCCAGAUGCCACGUGAGGUGCUUUCUAUAAAUAGUCUGUGAAAACAUCUCAGGAGUUCUCUGAGGUGGGAACCGUCACCAUCCUAUUCUCCAAGUCAGGAACCAGUGGGAUGAGUGAGGUGGACUUCGCCAGGAGUCCUGAGGUGGGCAUAUAGGAGGCAGGGCUUGAGCCCAGGCUGUACCCACACCACAGAAUCAGCAGCCCUGGCAGCAGCUCCACUUGUCUACCGGACCACACACUUUACCCUCAUGUUCUUCGUAACUCCAUAAGGAAGGGACUAGGCUUUUCCAACCCUCAUUUUGCAGAUGAGGAAACUGAGUUUCAAAGUGGCCCUGACAAACCCCAAGGUCACUGAAGGCUGGCAGGGGCAGAGCUGGAAUUCCAGCACAAAUAUUGUGGUCUGGAGGCCCGCAGUUGAUAGGCUCUCUCCUUCCAGGGGGUCCUCCCUGAGUCCCUAACCUUUACGCCACCAUUUCUCAAAGGAGCCAAGCUGGUCCUUGAGCCAACCUGGGGUGGCUUUGCUGACCCCUCACAGCUUCCGCAGAAGGGCAGUGUCUCUGGGGACGCCUGCUGGGGACAAGUCACUGCCUCCCUCUUUCUUUAAUGCCAACAGCUCUCGAACCCCCACGUGCAGGAGGAGAGCUGCCCUGACUCCACUGCUGGCUUCACUCCUUUCCCACAUGGAUAAAACCUGAGGUUAGAAAACACCGCUCAGAAGUGACUCAUUCCUGACUUCCCUGCCAAAAACAACACCCAUUUACGUAACUUGCUCACACACCAAUCUUUUCCUCCUCCUCAGGGUGACUGCCCUGUCAAACCAAGGCUGAUCUUCCUCACAAACUGGCCUUCCAUUUCCAGCAGAGGCAAAUCAAAUUGCCCUUUCCGCCCUCAUCUCUUUGCUAACUGGGGUCAGAGAUAGCCCAACCAACGUGUCCCUCCCACACUGUGUUGGUGACUUCCGGAAGGGAUGUGAGAUUUCCUAUCUAACACUUGUUCUUGGGCUGAUUUCUUAAGCCAACCUCAAAAAAAAAAAAAGAGUGUGGUGUAGGAAAGGCCUCAUGAACCAGGGAUCACUCUCUCUGCUGAAUUUGCAGGCCAGUUUCCUGACGGAGCACUUCUCACAUUUUCCAUCUCUAGCUGCUUACGUGCAGAAAAGAAAACCCUUUUCGGGUGUGUCUGUAGACUAGACUUUGGCAUAGGAAUAGACGUGGGCAGCCAUUUGAUACAUGAAAUUCCCAGUGCUUCUGAAACCAGAAGCAAUUAGUCCAAAAAAAUGUUUAACUAUCUAUCCCCAUAAUGUGCUAGGAGGUUCUCUAUGGUCAUGUCAGCAUAUAUAUCCCAAAACAUCUGUAUUGGCUUAAAAAAAACAAAAAUAAAAAACGAGGUAUGUCCAAAGAUAGCCUGUCCUCCUCUUCAUUCCAGGUAAGGACAGCCCCUGUCCUUCUGUAAGGAAGAGGAAGCGAAGGGAACUUCCCCCAGGCGCUGGUGGGAACAUCUUAGGAGGAAGGAACAUAGAAAUUGGCAAGGACUCGAAGGACGGAUAUGAAAGUGCCGUGAGCCCUGCUGAGCCCCAUGUGUGCCAAAAAUUAAUUCAUAAGCAAAUGCUUAUUUUAUAGUUUCCCACUUGCUACAAAACAUCAAGCCACAAGGAAAUAUUUCUUCUGGGGGCUGACAGGAAGCGGGUGGCACCAGAGUGGGGAGAAAGAAAGCCGGAAGUUCUCUUCAAGACAAGCGUGAUCCUAUCACCUGACAACGUGUCACCCGUUUCUGGAAAAUCCACGGGCUGUGGUACUGUCUCCUUGUUCCCAUAAGCGGAGGGUUCAAUGUGAAGCCUGCUCUGAUGGCAGCCAGGUAGGAGAAGUCUGGGAGUCACGAUCUACCCUCAGAUGUUAUCACCAUUGCAGGAGCCGGGGCAGGAAGAAAAGAUGCUGGGAGACCUGGGGACACCACCCCUGGGAGUCCAUUAUGCCAGACUGGGAAGUAACCUGUAUUUGGCUUCCAGGCAUUUCAGGGCUUUAGGUGAUGAUGUGAUGGAUGACAGGGUUUCAUAAUAAGGGAGCAAACCCUCCAUGAGAGUGCCUAGCAAGCACUGUAUGUCAUUAUUUGUGGAUUCCCAUAAAUUGAAUCCUCUAGGGUCUGGACAAUGAAAUCUAGAAUUUCUGGAGUGCUGUGAUUCCCAGUGAGCUUAUCCUAAGGCAGGACUGAAUUUUCUUACAACAUCCAAAAGGAGAAAGACAAGAGUCAACACUUUUGCAAAGAAGGGAUUUAGUAUCCAGGGAGAUCCAAACUCCUCAACUGCAGAGACAAUGGUGUCUCCCUUUCCUGCAGCUGUAGCAUCCAGCUUGGGGGCCUGGCUGACCCAUGGUAGGUGCUCAAUCGAUUAUAAUGGGGGUGGUGGUGAGGAAGCCAGUCCCCAAAGGUGGUCCCCAACAAUUCUCUCUUUUUAUACAUGUACCCUCCUCACAAUAAGAGGUGGAGUUUUUCUCCCCGCCUUUGAAAUGGGGCUGGCCUCAUGUCUGGCUUUGACCAAUAGAAUGUGAUAGAAGUGAUAUUCUAGGAAUUCUAAACCCAGGCUUUGAAAAGGCUAGUAGCUUCCACUUCCUGCUUCUUGAAACACUGUUUCUCAGAACCCAGUCACCAUGUUCUAAGAAGCCCAAACCACACAGAGAACCAAGGCACUCCAGGCAGUACCCCCAGCUGAGCUCUCAGCAAAGGACCAGCACCAAUGGCCACAGUCAUAUGAGUGACCACGUAAGCUGUUCUAAGACCAGUCAACCCCCUGAUGGUUGCAGACCCAGCCAAGAUCACACAGAGCAAAAGAACCACCCAGCUGAGCCCAAGCUCACAGAAUCAUGCUAGGCACCAAAAUGGCCAUUGCUUUAGGCUAUUAAAUUUUUAGGUGGUUAUUCAGUGACAGAUAACUACAGGUGGAGGUGGGACGGACAAGAGGUACAGGAUAUUUUAUCAUGGGUUUUGUCCAGCUCUGGAACUCUGAGUAAGUCAUAACCUCCUUGAGUUUCUGUUUCCUUGAGCCACUGUGCCCAGCGUUCCCUAAAUAUUUUAAAUCUGCAGUUGGUUGAAUCCACAGAUGCAGAACCGACAAACACAGAGGGCAGACUGUAUACAUUUCUGGAACUGUGUAGGCCUGCCUGCUUCCCUGCAACUCCCCUUUCUACCACCUGUCAUCAGGAAACAUGGAUCUCAAGAAGGCCAGCUGACCACAGACCCAUUUCCCUUCCUGAGACCCUCCAUGGUGCACCGAACAGGAAGUGACCGUGCUCCACCAGCUCCGGCAAGAACCCACCAUGUCUUCAGUGGAGCAAAGCAUCUCAGCAAUCAUUAAUUGCCACACUGUGGUCUUAGCCCAAGUCAGGCUCACUUCCCAGCUGGCCACUUACUACUCUGAACCAACUUCUCAACAGCAAGACGAAACUCUGAAUCACUCCCCCUGGGGCUUCAAGGUUCCUGUCCUUAACUGGCCCCAGACACAACCCUAGUUCCACAUCAUUUUCUCCAGAGAAAGAGAAGCUUGGGGCCAAGGGGCUCUGACAAGUCAAGUCUAGGCUAGAAGGCAUUUUCCUGGAACCAUCGGCCUCCUGUGAGACACUGGGUUAGACUGGGCCCCCCAGGGGUCACAGAAGCGGGGAGGAGAAAACAGCAUGUGCGUGCGGCCACACCCGCACCCUUCCAUCCUGGCAUGGAUCCACAGGCCCCCACACCACCCCUGCGUUCCCCCAAGAGAAAACAUCCCUGCUCCACACGUGGCUGAACUGCGGUAACUCCAUCAUGGCAUUUCAUCUACAGCCUGGGUGUAUGAGUAAUAAAUGUGUGAAACCAUGAAACUAAUAUUCAUAAUGACCUUACAAGAUAAAGAACUUGAAGGAAAAACAGCUUCUGUGUGCCUGGCCGUCACCAUCAGGGUGCUCCGUGAAAAACAUGGCAUCUCACCAGAGCCACAGACAUCGUCUCCCCAGGAGCCUCAGUGCUGGCGGCCCUCAGCCCCACCAGCCACUAUACUUCAUUGUUAGUCCUUAAUUAAUGGUGCCUUUGUGCACCUGGUCAUCCCGAUGCCAAGCCCAGAACCGAAUGGGGCCUCUGACUUCUCUUCCACGUCUAAUCAGACGCCAUUUCAGCCAACAUUUACCAAGUAUCAGCAGGUCCAGGCCUGGGCCUGGUGCAAGGAGUGACAGGGUCUCUGUUUGUGACAUCCUGUCCCUCACCCCCACCCCUUUAGUCCCAGCAAGGUUCAGAGUCUCAUUCCCUGCCCUCAUUUCUUUUAUUUGUUGAUUGACAUAUAACAUAGGUACAGUAAAGCACACUAAUUUUAAGCAUAUGGCUUACUGAGUUGUUGUUUUUUUUCUUUUUUAAACUUUUAUUUUAAAUUCAGGGUUGCAAUUGCAGGUUACAUAGGUAAGCUUGUGUCACUGGGGUUUAUCACAUAGAUUGCUUCACCACUCUGGUAUUAAACCUAGUACCCAUUAGUUAUUUUUCCAUCCUCUCCCUCCUUCCGACCUCCACCUUCCGAAAAGCCCCAGUGGGCGUCGUUCCCCCUAUAAGUGUCCAUGUGUUCCUGUCACUUAGCUCCCACUUAUAACUGAGAACAUGCGGUAUUUGAUUUUCUGUUCCUGUGUUAUUUUGCUAAGGAUAAUGGUCUCCAGCUCCAUCCGUGUCCCAGCAAAGGAUACGAUCACGGAGUUUUAAACAUGUGCACAGUCAUGUAACCACCACCCAAACAAAGAGGUCGAAUAUGUUUCCAGCACCCAGAGAGCUCUCUUGUGCCAUUAUGAGAAAAUAUCCUCUCCCAAGAUAUGAACUCUUUUAUCAGAGAUUUAAGUUCAGGUUCUCAUCAGCUCUUCCACAAAUUACUGCCCAUUAACUUUUUAAUUCUUAGACUGCCUCCUUGGGACCCUGCUUUCCUCAGUUUACCUGUCCUCUACUGCCAGGUGUAUAGUCCUCCGUUACAGCUCCAAAGCCCCUUGGAGGGCUGCACUGCUCCUAUAUAUGAACCCCAACCCCCAUCCAAGGCCCUUCACUUCUACAUAGCACUCCUCGGUCUGAAAGACCCAACCGCUGUUCUGGAAACCCAACUGCUGCUCUCACACCUCUGGGCCCUCUCUACCAUGGAAUAUGACAAAGAUUCCUUAUGCCCCAGGUCCAUGCCCAAUUUCCCCCUUUCAGUCCCAUGUCCAUCCUUGAAAGCCCAUUUCAUCCACAGACCGUCUGCAGGCUCCCCAGAGAGAUGCUGGUCCUUCUUCCUUGGUGGUUCCCCGGCAUCACUUCUACUUCUUGGAGGGCACUAAAUGUCAUCCUUGAGACAUAGCAUCGUAUGUGCACAUCCACGUAUCCUUGUUAGAGGUUCAAUUUCUUGAGGACUGAGAUUCUGGGAUUUCUCAAACUGGUAAAGCUUUGAAAUUUGGGGAAGGGAAGGAAUAACAACCUAGGGUUUCCAACUUCUAAUUUGGCCAACAGAAAAAAAAAAUCUAUCAUCCAUAAUCAACACCAUUUCAUUAAAGAAGACACUGUGGCUAAGGAUAAAGAUUGGAGAGAUAUAAUCUCAGAAAAAAAUGGCCAGGUCUUCAACCUGAAUCCAUUGGUUUAUGAAAAGUUCACCACAUUGUCCUCAUUUUCCACACUUGACUAUGCCUGGAGAAAAUCCUCACAGACGAACUGGCUCCCAUGUCUGGAAACCACUGCCCCAUCAUCGCCCCUGGUAUAGCAGCACAUACGCAGAAAGGGCUCAAUGACUAUUCAGUUCAACUGCUCUAAUCACAGGAAAUCAUGUGGUUCUAAGACAAGGAGCAUUUCAGCUCUGCUUCCUCCCAACACAGGAGCCCAGAACACAGCAGUGGCUGGGCAACAUUCCAUUGAUGAGAAGGACUGCAGGACCCACCCACACACACAUGACAAAAUAAAAAGCAAUCCCAACGUGUACGACUCGUGCCCACGUGACAACUUAGACAAGCAGUGGGCCUUGCCACUGGCCCAGGUGCCUCACUCAUUGUCCCAAAUCCCAACCUGGUGCAACACGUGACAAUGAACUUCAAAAGUGUACGUUGGGGGAAGCGGGGAUUGGAAGGCGAAAGAAAAGGGCCACCGCAGUUGGCUGCACAGGUUGUGCCAAGGCACAAGGGUGCUGGCUGGAGGAGCAGGCAGGGACUGAAAUCUCACCUGUGCUGCACCUGCCAAGCCAGGCACCCUGGCCGGGGGCACACUGACUCACAGGAAGAAACGCCCUUUACAAAGUUGCACAAAGAACCAAGACUUCAUUAACCGAGACUCCGAAUUUCAGUUCAAGGCCAAGAAUAUGUCAGGUCAAAUAUAUACAUCAGGGUGAAUUUUACAGUAUGUGGAUUAUAUCUCAAUAAAGCUUUUAUCAAAACAUAUGUGUGUGUGUAUGUGUACACGAGUCUGUACAUAGAUACACGUCCAAAAAAAAAACUCUUAUUCAGAGAGCUAACAAAGAAGGAAGAGUGCAUAAAGGAGGUAUUAAAAAUAUUUAAAGGGAUCAUAUAUAAAAGUUAUGUUAUUUAUGUAUUAUUAAAAUUCAUGUUCUAAGAUGACUGUUGUGGAAGAAAAAAUCAUGAAAAUUGUUUUUUAAG
rnacentral:lncRNA from 1 species